CUCCCCAAAAACAACCAUAACCUCCACUCUGUUACCAGUUUCUAGAUUUGAUGUUAUGCUCUUCCAAUCCUCAUCCUCAAAGGAUGUUAGUGUAUCUCUUUUAUAGGCCAGAAUGGUUGCCUUUGUGUAAUUUAUGAUCAACACACCUUUGCAACCAUCUGAUGCUAUGUUGUCCGGGGAAGAGUAAUAGACGACGAACAACAUCAUACUCUUCAGGUUACUCCCCUUUAUUGCUGGGACAUCAAAUAUUAUAGAACAACCUUUGCAACUGAAGGUUAACCAAUCGGAUUUAUUGUCGUCAAAGAGAAAAAAUGAAUCCCAAGUCCCAUCUGCAGCCUUUACAAUUAACAAGUGUUUCAAUGGCUCAAAUUAUGUUUAUGUAGUUCAUUUUAGCAUCCUUACUAAGAUGUAUAAAAUGGUUUAUUCUCAUUUCAUAUACAUGAUCAUCUAAUCUAACUAGAAAAAAAAGUAAAAUGGUAUUUUUCUCUUAAAAAUGUACAUUGCUUGUAAUUUAAUUCUUGAUUAAAUUAUGUGUGAAUUAAUCAUGGAGUUAUUCACACCCAUUUCAAAAACUACUAAUGUGAAAUGAGUUUGAAAACUUUAAGAAUUAAAUUGGUGUCUCAUUCAAAAUAAGGAUGACAUAAUUGGGCAAAAAAAUAUGCAAACCUGUAAAAUAUUGUCUUCAGUGAUAUUGGGGAUUCGGCAUUUUGUUGCCAUCUGAAUUAAGAGAGAUUUCAAGUAAUUAUUUGACUGUGAAGUGCGAACUUGACCGAGGCAAUCAUCAAUUAAAGGAGAAGCAUACAUAUCAGGGUUCUCCAAUGUAGCUGUACUUGCAUUUGCUUCCAAUUUCUUACAAUUUGUGGCUUUAAAUACAUCCAAAAUUCUUGCUGCAUCUUGAGUAAGUCGUAAAUCUGAUCCACACUCCAAACAAAGACUUCGAAGCUUUAGAAGUUCCUUGAAAGUACCAAGAGAUGAUAUGGACGCAGAUGUUUGAACUAGAGAUAUCACAUUAUUUGAUGGUGACAUCCAAGACCGAAUGAGAGAAGGAAAUACAUCACGUGAAAAUCCUUCAAAGCCACAUAAAGAAAUAUAUCCAAUGCUUUUCAAUCUUACUAUUGAAAAGGGCACUUGUGUUAUAGCAGUCCUAUCAGCAAUCAAGGUUGUCAAAGAUUCCAUUUGUUCCAAGUCCUCCUCCAGUUUGUCGAUCAUGGAACAUCCCGAAAGAAUCAAAGUUUCCAGAGAUUUUAAUUUAUAGAUGUUUUUCGGAAGUUUUCGAAGACCUGUGCAGUCUUUCAAAUUUAUCAGAAGAAGUUUAUGGAGAGAUCCAAUGCUAUGGGAGACCACAGACAAACUUGGACAGUGUUUGAGUACUAGCUUUUCAAGAUUAGGCAAGUAUGAAAAGUCUGGGGUUUCAGUCAAAUCCCGAGAAUGACUAACAUUAAGAAUUUUUAGAUUCUCUAACAUCUGCAAGAAAAAAAAACACACACACACACGCACAAGAGAAUAAUAAGAGAAGCUUAGAAAAAAUAUAUUGGAAUUUGGAAGAAUGACUGUUUUCCACUAAACCUUGACACAGAGAUGUAUCAGUAAUUAAGGCUGGUUAAUGAUUACAUGAGCAUUGAUUUUGCUUUGAAUAUUAAAUUUAGAAGCUAAUUUUUAAUUUGUAAAAGUGAUAACUUGAAUUGUUUUAGUUUAAGAAAAUGUUCUUAGAAUAUCUUAUAAUAUCUUAAGUAAUUUUCUAUGAUCAAUUUAUAAUCUUAGAGUAUCUCUUAGGAUUAGAUUAUAUAUUACUUCUUAUUAUGAUUUGUUCUUGAUUUAAGACUUAAGUCUAUGUAUCCCUAUAAAUAGGAACUCAUAUUGAGUCUUUUAUAUAAGUCAAUAUGAAGUUAUUAUCAAUAUUCAAGGUGCUUAUUAUUUUCUCUCUUGCUUUUAUCUAAAACCCCAAAAAAUUCAACGGUUUAUAUAUAUAAAUUACUUCCUCAAUUUGUCUAUUUUUUAACCAUUGGUAAUGAGGUGUAAUAGACAUGACACAUUUUACACGUGUGAAACAAAUAUGUUACACGAUUUGUGGAUGUAGAGGCCAAUUAAUGUUACACAAGUGCAGUUAUCAUGUCAUGCCUACUAUUUAUUACACCAUGAUAUCAUUGGAACAUAGUUUUACAAAACACAAAAAUCACAGACACAAAGUAGCGCAGCAAGAGAGAUUUGGGAGGAAGAGUUUUCACUAUUUCUCAACUCAAAAUGAUAUUCUAAUACGUGAUGCUUCAGAUUCUCAAUAUUAUAUAGCCUGAAAGAAAUUGCUGACAUAUAGCAAUCAAAUCUGAUAUGAUUGUGUUUAUUAGUUGAUUUUCUAUUUAAGUUUAUUUGUAUUUUGGGAAAGAAUAAAAUCACUCUGAUUUGAUUUAUUUCUUAAUUUAUUUUUCUUUUAUUCUCUGCAUUCAUUAGAAAGCUGACAACAUUAUAUAUGUGUAUAUAUAUAUAUAUAUAUAUGUUUGUACUGUUUAAGUUUCAAUAUAAUAAGAAAUUUUCAUUCCCUCUUGUUUUAACCUAGCUGCACCUUAAAACACAUGGUAUCAGAGCUUCGGCUCUGAUCUGAUCCUGUGGCAGCUCACCAUGUCCUCACAAGAAACUGAAAAAAAAUUAUUCCUCCACUACUACAAUACCAGAAGAAAAAAAUUUGGUGACCCUAAAAUAGUGUCAACCCCUACCACAAAUGAUCCACUAUCCAUAAACUCUAGUUUACAACUUCUAAUCCAAAAGCUGAAUGAUAGAAACUAUGUUGAAUGGGCCCAGACCGUGAAGUUAUCUCUUUAUGGCAACGGGAAGUCAGAGAACUCCAUAAUCAUUGGGUGGUUGAUUCACUCAAUGGGAAGCCCUACCUAUUCAUUUCCACUGCAAAAGAGGUGUGGGAAGCUGUACGCGAUUGCUAUUCUGACUUGGAGAACUCCUCACAAAUUUAUGAACUUAAGACUCAUUUGUGGCAGUCCAAACAAGAAGAUAAAGAUGUCACACCAUUCUUUAAUCUCAUGGUUAUCCUUAGGCAAGAGUUUGACCAAUGUUAUGAGGAUGAUUGGAAGAAUUCCAAAGAUGCAAACAGAUUUAUGAAAAGAGAAGAAAACGAUAAAGGUUUAUAUGUUUCUAGCAGGACUCAAUCCAGAACUUGAUGAAGUCUGUGGUCGAAUUUUGGGCACAAAACCUUUUCCUUCAUUGAGGCAAGUAUUUUCUGAAGUAAGGAGGGAGGAAUCCAAAAGGAAAGUUAUGUUGCAAAAAUCUGAUAGUACAAGGGUGCAAGAAACUGAGAGUUCUGUUAUGCCUGCAAAGGGAUACGUAGCAAAUGGAGAAAGAAAAAGACGACCUUGGUGUGAUCAUUGUAGACGACCAUGGCACACUAAGGAAACUUGUUGGAAACUUAAUGGAAAACCACCCAACUGGAACAAGAAGCCAAAUGGAAAGGGUAGGGUCUUCCAAGCUGCAAAUGGAGAAAAUUUGGAGAAUAAAGUCAACUCUAAGGCAUCUAUUUUCUCUAAGGAACAACUAGAGCACUUGUAUAAGCUCUUUACCUCUAUGUCAGUUACUUCUUCAUCCUCUUGCUCAAAAAGGUAUCUCUUUCUCUUCUACUCUUUUGAGUUCCAAACCAAAUUCUAAAACUCCAUGGAUCAUCAUUCUGGAGCCACUGAUCAUAUGAUAGAUUGCUCAAAAUUGUUUUUCACUUAUAAUACUUGUACAGGUCAUAAAAAGGUAAAGAUAGCUUAUGGUACUUUUUCCACCAUAGCUGGAGUUGGUUCUAUCCCUAUUUCUAAAUCUCUAACUCUUCACAAUGUCCUUCAUGUUCCAAAUUUGUCAUGUAACUUGCUGUCCAUAAGCAACUUAACACAAGAUCUUAACUGUUUGGCUAUUUUUAACCUAGUUAAUUGUCAAUUUCAGGAGUUGAAAUCGGGGAGGAUGAUUGGCAGCGCUAAAGAGGUUAAUGAUCUCUAUCUCUUCAAUGAUGAGGCUAAUUUUAAAGAGGAAUUUCAUAGUAAUAGUCUCAACUCAAUUUUGGUUCAUAAUAAUGAAGAAAUAAUGUUAUGACAUUAUAGGCUAGGACAUCCAAAGUUUUGUUAUUUGAAGCAUUUAUUUUCCGAGUAUUUUAAGAAUAAAAAUCUAAAUCAGUUUUUCUAUGAAGUUUACCAAUUUGCAAAACAUCAUCGUUCUUCCUAUUCUCCUCAGGUGCAUAAACCAUCUAAUCCAUUCACAUUAAUUCAUAGUGAUGUUUGGGGACCUUGUAGGGACCCUACUCCUAAUGGAAGAAGAUGGUUUAUUACCUUCAUAGAUGAUCACACUUGAUUAAUUUGGAUUUACUUAAUGAAAACAAAAUCUAAAGUUGAAAGUAUCUUCAAAUGUUUUUUUCAAAUGGUUGACUCAAUUUCAAGUAAAAAUCAAAAUUCUCCGUAGUGAUAAUGGAAGGGAAUAUUUUAAUAAACACUUAAAUGGAUUUUUUCUACAACAAGGUAUCAUUCAUCAAAGUUCAUGUGUGGAUACUCCACAACAAAAUGGAGUGGUUGAACGAAAAAAUAAACAUCUCCUUGAAGAUGCUAGUGCAUUGUUGUUUCAAAAUAAGGUUCCAAAGUAUCUUUGGGGAAAAGCAAUUCUCACUGGAACAUAUUUGAUAAAUAGGAUGCCUACCAAAAUUUUAGAUUACAAAACUCCGUUUGAUGUUUUCACAAGUCUAUUUCUAAUAAUAAACUUUCACAUACUCUACCUCUAAAGAUAUUUGGAUGUAUUGUUUUUGUUCAUAUUCAUGAUCCGAAUCAAGGAAAACUUGAGCCUAGAGCAAGAAAAUGUGUUUUUUAUUUGCUAUGCAUCCAAUCAAAAAGGAUACACAUGUUUUGAACCUAUUUUCAAAAAGAUUUUUGUGACCAUGGAUGUCACUUUCUCUGAAAAAAACUCAUUUUUUGGUAAUCAUUUUCAAGGGGAGAUAAUAGAAGGAUGAUGUUCAAUAUUUAAAAAAUUGCAAAUCUGGAUUUUCUAAACUAUUUGGAAAAAACAGAUUGUGAAAAGUAACAUAGUAGAAUCCUAUUUGAAAAUACUAGAAAUUGAGGAAAGUAACAAAAAAAAAUAUCCUUGGGUGAAUCUAGUCAAAGCCAUGGACAUGAUAUUUAUGAAAAUGUCUUGAUAGAACCAGAAGUUGAAAAUGAGACAGUUGAAAUUGGUAACAAAGGUAUCCAACCCUUUGACCAUGUAUACUUAAGAAAAAAAGUGCCUUAGAGAAGAGAACCUCAACACUGCCAAACAUCCAAAAUCCAAUAGGUAAGAGUCUUUCUAAUUCUAUUAUACCCUUUCAAAAUUUUGAACAUUCUGAACAUAAUAAUCUUGUCUUUGUUGAACCUGUUCCCAAUGAUUUUGUCAUUCUAGAACCUACCUUUUCUUGUCUACCCAUUGUUGUUAGAAAAGGGAUAAGAGCAUGUACAAAACAUCUUAUCUCUAACUUUAUAUCUUAUGACAAAUUGUCUCCCACCUUUAGAGUUUUUACUUAUGAACGGACAAAAAUAGAUAUCCCAAGAGAUAUACAACAAGCUCUAAGGUUUCCUAAGUGGAAAGAAGCUGUCUUGGAAGACAUGAGUGUUGUUAUAAAAAAUCAAACUUGGAAAGAGGUGGAUCUACCUAGAGGAAAAAGAACUGUGGGGUGCAAAUGGGUGUUCACCAUAAAACACAAGGCUGAUGGAUCAGUAAAGAGGUAUAAGGCCAAGUUAGUUGCCAACGGCUUUACACAAACUUAUGGUAUUGAUUACUCAGAAAAUUUUGCUCUUGUUGCAAAACAUAACACCAAUAGAGUUCUUUUAUCUUUAGUCGUUAACUUGGAUUGACCAUUACACCAGCCAGACGUAAAAAAUGCAUUUUCAAAUGGAGAUUUAGAGGAGGAAGUCUAUAUGGAUUCACCCCCGGGGUUUGAAUUUAAAUUCAACCAAAAGGUCUGCAAGCUUCAGAAGUCUCUUUAUGGCUUGAAACAGUCACCUCGAGCGUGGUUUGAAAGAUUCACCCAAUUUGUUAAGAAGCAGGGAUAUUCUCAACGUCAAAGCGAUCACACCAUGUUUGUGAAACAUUCUUCUAAAGGUAAAAUGGCUAUAUUGAUCGUUUAUGUAGAUGAUAUUGUUAUCAUUGGGGAUGACUGUAAUGAAAUAACAAAUUUCUUGCUACUGAGUUUGAAAUUAAAGAUCUUGGGUCUUUAAAAUAUUUUUUGGAAAUGGAAGUUGCGAGAUCAAAGAAAGGGAUUGUUGUAUCACAACAGAAAUAUAUUUUAGAUCUUCUAAAAGAAACCGGGAUGAUGGGUUGUAGGCCAGCUGUUACUCCAAUAGAUCCUAAUCAGAAAACUGGUGGUGAUGGUAGUGGUGAUCUAGUGGAUACAUGGUAUCAAAGAUUAGUAGGAAGACUAAUUUAUCUAUCUCAUACUCGUCCAGAUAUAGUCUUUGUUGUUAGCUUAGUGAGUCAGUUUAUGCACUCACCUCACGAAGAACAUUUAGAGGUUGUUUACUGUAUUCUAAGGUAUCUCAAAAGUUCCCCCGGAAGGGGACUGUUUAUCCAAAAAACUGAUCAACAAGGCAUUGAGGUAUUCACUGACGCAGAUUGGGCAGGGUCCAUCCAGAUAGAAAGUCAACAUCUGGUUACUACACAUUUGUUUGGGGGAACUUAGUUACUUGGAGGAGCAAGAGACAAAAUGUAGUAGCUAGAAGCAGUGUUGAGGUAGAAUAUAGGACAAUGGCCCAAGGUGUUUGUGAAAUCCUAUGGCUUCAAAGAAUCAUAGAAGAGCUUAAACUUCCUAUAAAUCUUCCAAUGAAGUUGUAUUGAGACAGCAAGGCAGCAAUUAGUAUUUCUCAAAAUCCUGUUCAACAUGACCGAACCAAACAUGUUGAAAUUGAUAGACAUUUUAUAAAAGAGAAAGUAGAUGCAGGUCUGAUUUGUAUGCCUUUUGUCCCUACUUCACAACAAGUUGUUGAUAUCCUUACCAAAGGUCUGUUCAGGCCUAGUUUUGAAUUUCUUGUAAACAAGUUGGGCAUGCUAGACAUAUAUGCACCAACUUGAGGGGGUGUUGACAUAUAGCAAUCAGAUCUGUUAUGAUUGUGUUUAUUAGUUGAUUUUCUAUUUAAGUUUAUUUGUAUUUUGGAAAAGAAUCCAAUCACUUUGAUUUGAUUUAUUUCUUAAUUUAUUUAUCCUUUAUUCUCUGCAUUCAACAACAUUGUAUAUAUAUAUAUAUAUAUAUAUAUAUAUAUAUGCGUGGGUGUGUGUUUUUGUACUGUUUCAGUUUAAAUAUAAUAAGAAAUUUUCCUUUCCUCUUGUUUUAACCUAGCUGCACCCUAAAACACAGAAAUCAAUAUGACAAGCUUGAAAUUUGAUUGCAUGGUUGUAUUUACGUUGUUUAGUUUAGAUUAUUUAAACGCAUAAGACUAAUUUGAAAAAGAAAAAAGUUUAUCACUAAAUAACUUUUCAAAUUACUUUCUUUGCAAAACUACUCUUCAAUAAUUUACUACCUUGUAGUCAUUGUAUAACCAAAAAAUUAAUUGAAGGGCAAUCUUGGAACAUCAAUAAACAAAAUAGACAAAUUUAAUACACUACUUAAUUUUCUUCAUAUCUGUGAAAUUGUCAAAGUAAUGGACAUAGUACAACUUUUCGUCAUCCUAAUUCACCAAUUUGCCAAAUUCUAGAAGCCUUGCCUAACUUCUUCCUAAAAGCGCACUAUACAAAAACUGUAGAGCUAGAUGAGACGAUAGAUUUAAAUUUAUUGCUUGUCUUCUAUGGUCUGGGGAAAAUUUAAUGCUUCUGACAAAUAUGACUGGAGAAAAAAAAUCAUGCGCAAAAUAUUAAAAUGAAUUUGUACCUGUACCUGGCUCUUCUUCCAUAUUUGUUUGAGAUUACUAUAUUUUAAUUCAAAGGCAACUAAACUUCUUUGCUGAAAUUCUGCAGGAGCAUAAGUUGAUGGAAAUCCAUUCCAAUACAGCCAUCUAAGAUCUCGUGAAAGAUAUUUAAAAUCUCCAUUAAGCUGCACCCCAGCAAGUUGAAGCAAUCUAAGUUUAUUCAUCUUUUUAAAUGCUUUAGUAUUCAGACAAACAGUAAUUUUUUUUGGAAACUCCAAAGCUAGUCCCUUGACACCUUCUGUUCCCUGAAAUUAAAAAAUCAGAGAAACAUAAAACGAUUAGCUUAAAUAUAUGGUACCUAAACAUUUUCUAAUAACAUAUAUAAGCCAUACAAGAAGUUCUCUAAUUAAUAAUUACCUUAUGCGUUGAUAAUAUAUCAAACACAUCCUCACGGCGCCACAACCUACUGCGCUUCUCAGGAUCAAAUGGUGACUCCUCAUAAAUUAUUUGUCUUCCCAUGUCUCUCAACAAAUCAUGCAUUCUAAGUUUGUUCUUCUUGUCAAUAGUUACAAGGCUUCGCUCUACAAGGACUUUCAUUCCAACAUCAGCGAAAAAUCCACACCCAUUUAAUAUUCGUAUUACAUCAUUUUGGUCCAUCCCAAUAAAGAAACAAGCUAUAUCAAGGAAUAUUUGUUUCUCUGUAACAUCUCUUAAACCAUCAAAGCUUACUUUUAGCUUCUUCUGUACUUGAUCAUGGGGAAUACAUUUGAGUUUCUCCAAAACUUUCUGCCACUCUAUUAUUUCACAGUCGGACAAAUAGGACCCGAGGACUUGAAGUGCUAGUGGCAAUCUCCCAGAAUAAGCAAUCACAUUUGUUGAAUGUGUAGCAAAACCUUCUUUUGGACUUGGUUGCUUGAAUGCAUGCCAACUGAAAAGCUCAAGAGAUUCACUUUCGUCCAUUUCUUCUAUUGUAUACACUUGAUCAACUCUACACGAUCUAAGAAGAUGGAUAUCUCUGGUUGUGAUGAUUAUUCUACUCCCAGGACCAAACCAUUCGCGGGUUCCACACAAAGCCUUUAGCUGGUCCAAUUCAUUAACAUCAUCAAGCACAAGUAGUACCCUGUUCUUGGCAAGUCUUUCCUUUAAAAUAUUUUUCCCUGAUUCUAUGUCACGUAUCUUGAUUGUUGUUGUUUUGUAAACAUCACAAAGUACUUGUUGCUGUAGAGAAAUUUGAUUAGUAUCUGUCUCCCAAAAUUCCCUUAUAUUCAGAAGGAAACUCCUUCCCUCAAAUUUUCUCCCAAUUUGGUUAUAAAUUGCUUUGGCAAUGGUUGUUUUACCAAUGCCCCCCAUUCCCCAUAUUCCUAGAAGUAGAACAUCUUCUGAUUUUUGGAUGUUUAGUAGCUUAGUUGCAACUUCCACACGAGAUUCUACGCCAACUGGAUGUUCAGCAAUGAAUAACUCUGUCCUAUCUAGUAAACGAGUGACAUGUUGAACAAUAUUCUUGAUAUCUGCACUUUCAUUCCUAUAAAAUACUACCCAUAUAUUAGGUGCACAAUCAAUUGCAUGUAUAAGCAUUCUCCAAUAUAUGCAUCUAACUAAAGAAAAUGGAGAAUUAUAUGCCAGUAUACGUGCAUAUUUUUAGAGAAAAAAAUGCAUUGUAAUGGGAAUGAAAGAGAAGCACGAACUUUAGUGAAUUGUUGUCAUUUAUUAGAAGCUGUUACUGGUAAGUCUACAAAUUCACGUGCAUAUUUUGAUAUAAUUAGUUGUGAAAUGAUAGAAGAAUAAUAUUAUGCCUCAAAUACUCUUCUCCGGCAUGAUUAUGUUGCAGUAUAAACCCCCCAUAUCUUUUAAUUGUGAGAGAUUAAGUUAAACUUCCACCUCUGGAAUAUAUUAAGCAUUUUUUUUCACAUUUACCAUACUUAUUAGAAUCAUUUUAUUUCUAUUAAAAGUUAUUCAAAAUAGCUUUUGAUUGCAAUCAAAUUUUAGAUUAUGUAACUAUUUUCAAAAUAUUAAAUAAGUUUCUUGAUAAAUUUUAAAAAUGAUAAGUUUUAAAAAAGCUAUUUCUAAAAUGGACAGAUAUUAUUACACCAAGGCUUAAGAUUUAAGAAUUUUAAAGCAUCACAAACAAUAUUCUAAGGGGAAAAAAGAUAACCUAGAAUUUAUGAGUGCAAACCCUGCUAUGCCACCAAUAUUAAAUAGUUCUCUUCUCCAAUUACUCUUUGUGGAUUCAUCUACUGAGAUUGUUGUUAUAAGAUCUUCAAAAGCUUUUCCAAACUGGCCUUCCUGAUGACGUACUUCUGAGGGAUCUACCUCAUAGAACACGGGCACAACCACAAGACCCUUGGUUCUGCCGAUUUCCAUUAUCUUCUCCAACUCUAGCAUACACCACCUUGAAUUAGCAUAAUUUGUAGACAAAACAAUGAUGGAAAUUCUAGACCGUCCAAUUGCUUGCAAUAAUGAGAUUGAGAUAUGGUCUCCUCGUUGAAUCUCCUCAUUGUCUCUAAAAGCAUAAAUCCCCGCAUUUUGAAAAGAGGAAUAGAGAUGUGAAAUGAACUUUGCACGACUGUCUUCCCCUCUGAAACUAAAGAACACAUCGUACAUCUUUGGCUGAAAUAAUCAAAGGAAAGUAAAAUAAUGGAAAUCAAAGCUUAGAUAUACAAUAGCUAAAAUUAUUGAUGCCACUAAUACAUCAUUAACUAUGAGGUUACCGACAACUUAUUUUGUUACUAAUUUAUUUUGCCAAAAUUCUCACGAAUUGAUUUUUGAGGUUCUUGUGAUGAUUAUGAAACCAAAUGUUAACAAACUGAUUUCGUUAAUAUUCACUUUGUUUCCACCGUCACAUAUUUUGGAACCAAAAAGCGCUACAUUGAUGAAACCAAAUGUUAACAAGCUGAGCUAACCUCAAUAUUAUACAUACAUAUAUAUAUAUUACCAUUCACCUGAUUAGUCAUAUUAUUUGAUUCCCUCUUAAUGAUAUCUCUUGCCAUUGCUUGUAGCAGAACAUGCAUUUUAAGCUUGUUAUUAUCAUCAAUGGUUACAAGGCUCUUGUCUUCAAGGAGACUUAUUUGAAGAGCUGCGCAUUGUGUUGACUUGUUUAAUGUUUGGAGUACAUCAUUUUGGUCCAUCCCAUUAAAGAAACAUGCUAUAUCAAGGAAUAUUUGUUUCUCUUCAUCAGUCAAAUCACUAAAACUCUUUUCUAGAGCUUCUAGUAGUUGUGGAAAUGGAAUGGAUGAUCUUUCCAUACUCCUCAACAGACCCUUCCACUGAAGUGCUUCCUUUCCAUGCAAUACUGAUCGAAGAUUUUGAAGAGCAAGAGGCAAUCCCCCAGAACAGGCAACUACCUCUCUAGAAAGUUCAACAAAAUCUUCUGGAGUACUUCUAGCCAGGCUGAAUGCGCCCCGAUUCAAAACUUCAAGCGAUUCACUUUCGUCUAGUUCUUUCACUCUAUAUAUAUGGUCAACUCCAUGCUUCUUGAGUAGAUGUCUGUCUCUUGUUGUAAUGAUUAUUUUGCUACCUGCACCAAACCAUUCACGACAUCCGCAUAAAGCAUUUAGUUGCUCCAAUUUAUUUACAUCGUCAAGUACAAGAAGUACCCUUUUAUGUCGAAGUCUUUCUUUUAAAAUCACUUUUCCUGAUUCAAUUGUAUGUAUCUUUAUUUCAGUUGCUUUGUCGAUAUCAAAAAGAAGUUUCAUUUGUAAAGAAACUUGACCAUUAUUCUUUUGGCAAAUGUUCCGGACUUUUUUGAGCAAGCACUUGUCUUCAAAAUAGGGACCAAUUUGAUCAUAAAUGGCUUCGGCUAUGGCUGUUUUACCAACCCCUGCCAUCCCCCAUAUCCCUAGUAGGAGAGGACAAUUUGAUUGUUUCAAUAGCUGAAACACAUCUUGUGCACUAGAUUUUAUACUCACUGUAUAGAAAGCACUGAACAAGUUAAUCUUCUUGUUUAGCACACAAGUAACACGAUCAACUACAUUCUUAAUAUGUUGAAUCUCUUCGCUGUAUAAAUUAAUAUAUGAAAAAGAGAUGAAAUGCAUGAGUAACUAUACAUAUAACAAUUUUCCAUCACGUGCAUGGCUCAAAAGAAAGGAGGAAUUAAUAAGGUGAGAGCUGUAAAUUGAAAUCUCAACUAUUUGAACCACUAUACAAAAUAGAGUAAUAGACACAUUAAAUAGACAUGACAAAUUGACAGAAUUAAAAAGUUUCAUAAAAAUAGAGUAAUCUAAUUUCAAAUCAAGCAAGUUUUAACUCUAAAUUUAUUGUGUUGCCACGUUGAAAAAGAUAUAAUGCCCCAUAAGAGUUUAUAAAGAGUGACACAUCUCACUUUGUAAGUGUUUCGUUGGGUUCAUGGUGGAAACUCUCGUUCGACCAUAUUUUUAUGAUGUUUUCUUUCUAUAAUGAGAAGCAAUUUUAGUGUUGGAAUCAAUUCAAAGCAGAGGCAACUAUUUGUAGCUUUCAUGUUGAAGUUGAAUCAAUUCUAACUUUUUGCAACUUUUUUUAUACAUGUUAAAACUCUUUUUGGCAAAUUACACACUCAAAAACAAUAUUGAUCUAAUACUGUAAUACAUCCAAACAAUAUCAAUUCCUAAAAAUCACUAUUACAUGAAUGCAAUCCAAAUGUAAACUACUUUACAUACAACUUACUUUUAACCAAAAUCAAUUUUCCCCACCACACAAUCAAACAUACACUAAGUCAACUUUGUAUAAAAACUAAUUAAAAAUACCUGUAAAUAUCCAUAACUAAGAAAUAUCUUGGUCCGGAAUAUUUGUAAGCUUUACUAAUAGCUGCCACCCAACCCAUGAACUUGUCUUCCUCAUUACAGAUUCUAUCAAGAAAAUCAUGAAAAGCCUCUCCAAACAUACCUCUCUGCAAACUUCCGUUCGAGGGAUACACACCAUCAUAGAAUACAGGCAGAACAGUGAAAUCUGAGGUUCGGCUACAUUCAGUUAUUUUCUCCAAUUCUUGAAGACACCGUUUUGAAUUAGCAUAAUUCUUUGAAAAUAUGAUUACAGCAACUUUGCAAUCUCUUAUCACAUUCAGUAUUGAGGUUGGUAUUUCUCCACUUUCAGACCUCUCAUGGUCCCAGAAAACAACAGCUUCAGCUUCUGAAGUAAGAGCCGUAUAUAGAUUCGAAACAAAAGAACCCGCAUCUUCGUCACAUAAACUCAAAUACACAUCGUAGUUUGUAUUGUUUGGAUUAGUAGUGAAGGAAGACAUUGAUGGAUUUGAUGAAAAAUUGGCCAAACUGAGUUAUGAUGAAUCUGAAGUUAAUUCAAGUGAUGCAUGCUUUAAUACCAAAAGUCAAGUGACAUGAAAUGAAAGAAGAAUUCAAGUGAAAUGAAAUGUUUGAAUACCAAAAGUCAAGCUUUAUGCGAUUAUAAAUUACUAAUUCUGAAGCAAAAGGUAUCUGUCUCAAUUAAACUAUAGAAUUAUUAUAACAUACGCACAGACAAGUUGCAAAUAGGUCAACUGAAAAAAAGAAAAAAAAACCGUUGAUUGAUUCAACAGUAAAAAAAGAAGAAAACUUGUGCUUUUGGCGUUGUUCCUAACUUAAAAUAUUCAUAAUUACUCCCAUGAUUUCUUCAAUCCAUAAUUUUCUCAAAAACCUUCAUUAAGUUCAAUUAAUUUAUUUUAUCAAAUUAUUAGGAGUGUCAGCAUCCUAUCCGGUGUCCACGUUAGUAUAUGUGCUUUAUAGUUUAUUUUAAUCACAAAAUGCUUAUUUUAAGUUAAGAACUACAUCAAAAGCACUUAAAGAAAUGCACUUAGUUGAAAUGGAGGGUUUAUGGUUAUUUUGAAUUGACAUAAAAGCCCUUUCUCUGCUAGCGAGUGACUAUGUUCCUUUACAUGUAUACUCUGAAUGAGGAUGAUGAGUAACAAGAAAGUGAUGUGAAUGAAUAGGAAGAUUAUUAUUAUUAUGACUAUGUCCAAAGCUUGAACCCUAGAAAUCACACAUUGAUUUGAGCGAAAAAGAAUAAAAUUUCACAUAAUAAAUAAAUAGGUAUUACUAUUAGUACCUCGAUUGUGCGAAGAUAAUUGGAUACAUAAGGGGGAAUAACGUGUUUUGUGAGGUUUGGCAUUGUUAGCUGUGUGAAGUGCACUAUCCAAUUUAGAAUGAAACAAGAAAUGGUUGUUAGUCGCUGGCAAGUAAUUUUAUUUAUUUUUAUUUAUUAAAUACUACCAUAAACUCACAACGCCAAAUCUUGAAUUCGAACUUAAGAAAAAAACUGUUAAAUUAAUGAUAUCUCCAUUUGUCCGUUGAGUUAAGAUUUAAUGAUGUCAGUGUAAAUUUAUGUAAAAAUGCAAAUGUUUUUCAUUUUAUUUUGCUUAACACCGUUUAAUUUUGUUGAUAGUUGAGUAAUUAAUGACUUUACACUUAAAUAUACAAUUAGUAUUUGGAAAAUGCAAGAAAUUUAGUUUUAGUAUUUAGAAGAUAUAAAAAAAAUAUUAAUUUUGAAUAAUUGAUUAAUGACAAACAUUUAUCAUGUAAAUGAAUUAUAUGUUCCAACAACUUAUACAAACUUCCGUAAAAAAAAUAUAGUUAAAGUAGAGUAAUUGUUUUUGUUUUAUAUUGAUGAUAUUAAAAAAAUGAUUAAAUAUAUUUGUGUUCCCUCUAUAGAACGAGAAACACAAGAAAUGAGUGUUUGAAUUGUAUUUUAUUUUACACUUCCACUAAAUACCUACUAGUUUGAUUGUAUUCAAGUUUACUUAACCUGCUAACUUAGUACAAUCAAGUUGUUGAAGAAUGUAGUCACUACUAGGCUAGAUUACAAAAAAACAAGUUUAAGGAUUUUCUGAAUAACUCUCACAAGAGGGUGUUUACAAUGUUGUACUUUUAGAAAAUAUUUUUCGACACUUAGACAAUAUAAAAGAUAAAGAUCAAGAGUACAUAGACAUUUGUAUAAUGCUUAUUGUUGUACAUUGUUGCUUGUACUUUUCAAUGAGAGUUGCACGUUCUUUUAUAGAAAUAUUUAUGAUUUUUGGUCGUUGUUCAGAUUUAAAGAAAUCAACAUGUAUUAUGAAGUUUUAUUUCAAAUCUUCUGAUAUUGAUUCACCAUUAAACCUUGUUAAAAAUAUCAUUGAAAUUGAUCGUGUGAAUCUUGAUAUGAAGACUAAAGGAGUAGAGGAUAUUAUGAUCAAAUUAUAUCGCGUAGACCUUCAGGGUGUUUAGUAGAUGAUGCGCAAAAGAUUUAUCUUCUUCAAAGCAUUGACUAUUAUUAGAGUGUUGACUUAUUGAAGUGUUGACUAUUAUUAUAGUCAAAUGAUCAAAUGUUUGACAUAAUUUAUCACAUGCAGACGAUCACUUGUUUGUCACACUUAUCAUAAGCAGAAUAGUCAUAUGCUUGUUGUAGUCGUCAGAGUCAAACUAAUUAGAGUUUUGUUUGCAAUAAACAUAAUCACUAGAGUCGCUUUUCAAAGCGCAUUCACCAGACUUAUAGUAUGGAAGUCAAAAGCAAAGUUUUGGCGUUCCUUUAACCUAGAUGUAAGGAUCAUAGUAAACAUCAAAGGAAGUAGCAUGAACUCAUAAGGAAUAACUUAUUAUGAACACUAUACACUAAAAUAAAAUAUUAGAAUUUUAAAUUAUUCCCACAAAAUAUCAUCAUUAAAACAUGUAAGGAUCAUAGUUCUUCAAACCAACAUGGUUCUAACACCCUAUAAAUAUAUUAACUUUCAUUUUUAAUCUCCGUAAAAAAAUUCAUCGAUUAAUAUUCUUUCUAAACUUUUCCGUUACUAAAGUAGGUCAUCGCUGUUAAGAUGACUUAACGGAGCUGACGUGUCACUAGCAUGUAUCCGUUUUUAAUUGAUGUGGCACUAUUAUUGUUUGACCCAGAAUUGAUUUCAUUUUAAAUUAAAAAAAAAGUGAUCAUUAUUGUUUGUUCUGAUUGUUAUGCUGAGUUUGUUUUGUUUCUAGCAAUUUUUAUUUGUUCGCAUUGUAUGUGUAUGUAAUGUGUAUCGUAUGUUUGUGUAAGUGUGCGUAUAGUACCAUAUUGUAUUGUAUGUAUGUUGAGUUUGUUCUCUUUGUUUUGAGUUUGUUCAAUUUGUAAUAAUUUUAUUUGUUUGUAUUGUAGGUGUGUGUAAUGGUAUAGUAUGUGUAAGUGUGUGUAUUGUAUCGUAUUAUAUGGAUGUUGAGAUUGCUCUGUUUCUAGAAAUUUUUAUAGUAUGAAUCUUGUUUUAUAUGGUAUUUUUGUGUUUUUGUUAUAUUAAUAUGAUGCUACUUUCAUAAGCUAGUCCAAUAACUAUAAAUACAAAGUUCACUUUUGUUUUGUUGUUUUGUGCUUGAUUAAUAAUGAGUUUCAUGUUUUUCCUAGAAAAGGACCAUGAAUUAAACAUUGAAUAUGCAUGUGAUAAUCAAUCAAUUUGUAAACUAUUACAUGUGCUGCUCCAUAUGAUAGAUAUUGAUUGUUGAUGUAUUGUCAUGAUUUUGCAUCUUACUAAGGAUUUUUUUUUGUCAAAGACCCAAAGCUAAGGUACAAAGGGGGUGACAUUUAUGCAUAUAAAGGAAUGUGGAUAUGUGGUAUUUCUUUAAAGCAUUUGAUACUAUAAAUCAAAUGGACCUCACUUUUGAUGAAGUUUCAGUUAGACUAUGGUGGAAACAUGAUAGUGGGUCAUUGGAUGAUGACGUUAAGCCAUUCGAGGAUGAUGUAGGUGCUAUUAAAAUGUCAACAUAUAUUGAAGAAACCAAGUGUGAUGUUGAAAUUUAUGUGGAACACAAUAGGUAGACUUAUAUACAAUGUUAUGAUGAAGGCAUCACACCUAUAAAUGGGCAAAAUAAGUGGCCAAAAAUUGAUCAGUCUAACAUUUUGCCUCCUCAAUAUAAGUGUGGACCUGGAAAGCCAAAAAAACACAAACACGAACACGAUUUUGAUAAUGAUGAUGAGGAGGAACGCAUUUUUGGUGAUGAUGAUGAAGAACAAUAAGGCACAUGUGGCAGUGACAUUAAAAUAUUGGAGAUUUUAUUUAUUGUCAAUUAUAAUAAAAUAUAUUAAAAUAUUAAUUAUAAUAGUGACGUUGCCACGUCAAUUAAAAACGAACAAACAUGAAGUAGUGUCAUGUCAACUCCGUUAAGUUAUCUUAAUAGUGAGGACUAAUUCUUGUAACGAAAAAGUUAAGAAAGUUUAUUAUUUGAAGAAAUGUUUUAUAGAGACUAAAAAUAAAAAUUAAUAUAUUUAGAGGGAUCAAAAAUGUAUUUAAUCUUAAAAAAAAAACAAUUUUUAUUUUUAUUUUGUGAUUUCCUAUAGGUUCCCUUCACUUGAGGUAAUACUAUUUGAUGCAUAUUUGAUACUAAAUUUAGGUACCUCUCUUAACAGAUAUUCAUUCAAACUCGAAUUCACCAUGUUUUCGGAGUCUAGCCCCUUCUGCUAGACCCAACAUCUUUUGGUAAAAAAAACUAAUUUUAACUAAUUCUUUAUUGACAAUAUUUGAUGUGCAUGGUUUUUAUUAGGGGUAGACAAGACACUGAGGCCCGCCUGAAAUUGAGAAAACCGAGUGAAAAAAUCAGCUAGCAGGCAUAAAUGGUUGGAAUGAUUAGGGCUUGUUUGAUUGUGUUUUACUUUUUUGUUUUUGAAAACUAUUUUAUAAAAAAAUUAGAAAAAUGUUUAAAAAAAAUAAAUCUAUUUGACAACUUCAAUUUUUAAAACAGUUUUUAACUAGAGAGUUAAAAACACUGAAAAAUAAAAAGUAAAACACUAUUUAUUUGUUUUGCUUUUUUAGUUUUAAAAAUAUAAUAUUAAAAAUAAUUUUACAAAACAGUUUUUUAAAACAAGUAAUCCAAACAAAUUUUUAAAUUUUAAAAUACUAAAAUAAAAUUUUUAGAAUAUAAAUCAAAUAAACCGUUAAUCUUUGGGUUUUGUUUGGAUAGUAAUGGUCAUAAUCAAAUGCCUAAAAUAAACCCAUUCAAAGUCGAAACCGACCGACUACCGUGUUAUUUAUAUACAAAUAGUAAUAAUAGUAUUCUCAAAAUUUAUCAAGGAUGGUCAGUGACGUGACAAGACAACAAUACGUCUUGAGAUCUACACUGUUGCCUAAUAAUUAUUACAUCUCAUUGUAAAAUACAAUUCCUCCUAUAAAAUUAAAGAAAAAAAAGUAACAAUUAUUACACUACAUCUCAUAUCAAAUUAACACAUAGUGAAGUAAUACUAUUAUUAUUAAUACUCUAGUAAAUCUUAUUUUUGUUUUGUUUUUUUAACUUUACUUCUCUUCCCAACCUUCAUUAACAUUGGAGAUUCAUAAAUGUUAUUAGUUUUUGCUCUCGGUAGCUUUCUUCUAUUUUAUUCUUCUCCUUCAUGUGAUGCUGUGAAGGCUUUGAACGGACAUCAACAAGACUUUCACACGGUGAGAUGUGAUGGGCUGAUACUCGAAACAUAAGUUAGUACUUCUUCUUUUUCUUUUUCUAUCAUCCAUUUAAACUCAGAUCUAACAUUUGUCAUUAAGACCGUUCAUGGUUGGUUUUAAAAAAAAAAAUCAAACUAUAUUUAUUUUAAAAUUAAUAUAUGAAUUUAAAUUUAUAACUAAAUUUAUUAUUUGGUUUAAAAUCAGUUAUAAAACUAAUUGUAAAAUUAGUUAUGCUUAAAUAAUCGGUUUAUAAUUAAGCAAUUGAUUUUUAAAAUUUUAAUUUUAAAAUCAAUUUUUUUUAAAUCGGUUAAAAUUUGAUUAUUUUUAAAAAGUCAUUUAUUCAUAGUUUAAAAAUCGGUUAUUUAAAAAACUCAAUUUUUUCGAUAAAUUUUUUUUAAAAAAAAUUUACCAAAUUUUUCGAGAAAAAAAAGUUUUUUUUUUAUUUUUUUUCCGAUAUCUUUUCGAAAAAAAAAUUCAAAUUUUUUUCAAGAAAUAAAAUCUCAAAAUUAACAAAAUAUUGGUAGUGGAUAAAAACCGAAUAAAAACCAAAUUCAACUAUAAAACAGAAGUAGUUAUCCAACCGGAUUAUAACCAUAUGAUUUUAACCGGAUAUUUAACAUGGAUUUGAAUUCGGUUUUGAAUUUGGGCCUCAUAACCGGAUUUUUUGUACAACCCUAUUUGCCAUGGUUGUAUGCAAGAAAUCUAACGACUCUAUAUCUUUCACCCGUUUCAACCAUCCUGUCCACCUUGUUACACGAGCAAAUUGAACUCCUAUGCAAUCGGAGAUGGAUGGAGUUUUCCAAACCGAUGGUUUUCUUCGGAUGAAAGUUUACGGUCCAAAAUUGACCGAACCUAACCGAUUGUCCACCCCUAGUUUUUAUAAUACAUUAUGUCUCUAUAUUAUUUUUAUAAUAUAAAUGACAACAAAAAUAUAAUCAAUAUUUUGGUGAAGCACCGUACUUUUUUUUUCUUAACCAUUUUUUCUUCUUCCUCCGUUAGAGAAAUACUUUAGGGUUAUUUUAGGCCUAAAAUCAUCCAUUUUACUCACUUUGUUCACUCUACCUUUAUUUAAAUUUCUAUAUUUUGCAAGGUACUUAGUCACAUUAAUUAAAUCUGUAUUAUGGUGUUGGAUUGUUGCUAACAAAAUAGGCAGAUUAACUUUACUUUUUCGGACUGGUGUAUUAACCCAUUAGCUUGUAUCGACUCUUUUGACUAGCUGUAAAAAGUUGUAAUAUCCCUUAUAUUCUCUUUAAUAUCAAUUUGCCUAUUAAAAAGAAAGAAGAAUUAAUACAAUAAUACUAUUAAGUUAUAAUAUAAUCAAUAUGUUGAAAGCUAGCCUCUUCUAGUAACAUAUACAAGUUACAAAUAUUGGUGGAGAAUAUUAUUACUACUAUACUAGUAUGCCAAAAAAAAUAAAAAGUUAUCUCACGAUGAAGUUAGAAAAUUAACUAGACUAGAAUAUAAUUCGCGUAUUGCGUAAGAUAUAUAAACUUUAUCAUAUGAGUAGUAUUGUGAAUAAAAUUUUAAAAUUUUAAAAAUAAUAUAAUUUAUUCAUUUUAUCUGUAGAGUAUUCUUUUUAAGUGAAUCAAUCUAUUUGAGUAAUUAUUAUAUAUGAGUUGACAAACACACAUUCGAGAAUAUAUAAAAUAUUUUCAUAGUGAAGAUCAUCCUAAAAACAAAAUUCAUAAAUUAUAUUUAGUGUUAAAAAUCGUAAAAGUAUUUUAAUAAAUAUUAAUAUAUGUAAUUAUCUGCCGCAAAAUCAGAUUAAUCAUACUCUUUUUUGUGUUGUCAAAUCUAAAUUUUUUGUCAAAAUAUUGUUAGAAAAAUAUAAAAAUAAUUUUGUCAUUUGAUAUUCAUUUCAUUAUAACCUUGUUAAAGAAAUGACAAAUCUAAAUUCCAAUAUUUUGAGUAUGAGACUUCUAUACAACAUGACAAACAACUCUUAUGUACGGUGGUGAGUAGAGGUAAAACUCAUGUAGAAACUUAAAAUUGGUAGUAUUUUUUUAAAAAUUGACAAUAUAAAACAUCUCCGUAAAAAAAACAACAAAUAAUUUUUUAAUCUAAAUGGUAAAUAUAUAGUUUUAUCUCCAAGACACAAUAAUAACACUCAUAUAAAGUUGAAUAGGGACAAUCUUGUUUGUCUUUUGAGGAGCCAAUAUACGAUCAUGUCGUAGAUGAAAUCACAUAUGUCUGUAAAAACAAUACUAUAACUAAGAACAAUCAAGAUUUUGAGAAAAAUGAGCAAAUAGGUAUAAUAUCUUACAAAAUACCACUUACUAAAAAGCUAUUUGUGCAAAAAUUAAAAAAAAAAAAUUCCAACUAUAUCUACUUCUUUGAAAAUAAUUGGGUUGCAAAGAGAUUUCCUUUUGAAUUGAUAAAGUGGAAUUGUGAAAACUUAAAUAUGCAUACUGUUUUUCUCAUGACAGUGGUGAAUCUCGAUAUAAAAGUUAAUAGCAUAAUGUUGCGAUAUAAAAGUUAAUUGCAUAAGGCUGCGGUAUAAAAGUUAAUUGCAUAAGGCGUGUUAAAAUAGUUACAAGAAAAAAAAUAUAUUGACCAUUUAAAUAUUUGAGCUUCAGUUACCAAAAUAUAACAACAAAAUAAAUAUUAGAGAUUAUUUGAAGAAGUAGAAUAGUAUACGUCUGAAAAAAAAAAAAACUUAUAUAUUGAUUGUACUUUAAUUUGUAACUCAUGACACAUUAAUAGUUAUACAUAAAAUUAUAUGCUAAAUAAUAAUAAUAAUAAUAAUAUUUAAUAAAGAUGUAAGAGUCUAUUUUAAUAUAUAUAUAUAUAUUAUAUUUUGAAAGAUAGAAAAACAAUUUAUCUAACAACAAUACAAUGUAUUAGCAAAAAUUAAUAUUAUAUUUAUGGAAACAAAAAUUGGCAUAAUAUAGAGUUUUAGUAUCCAAGUGAUAUUUAUUUGAUAAAACACGAUAGACUAAAUAUAUUUUAUAAUUAAAUUUGAUAUAUAUAUAUAUAUAUAUAUAUAUAAUAGAUAAAAUAUGUGUUAAAGCAAAAUGAAAGUUGAAUAAUAACGAGAAUUUAAGAGGAAAGAUCUUUUAGAUGUGCCACAUGAGAUUUUUGUUGAGGUGACAAUAUUUGAAUGAAAUGACAUAAUAUUAGAUGAUGUUUAUGUAGGAGUCUAUUUUAAAAUAAGAUUUUUGUUAAAGUGGCAAUAUUUGAAUGAAAUGACAUAUAUUAUGUGGGAGUCUAUUUUAAUAUAUUGUUUAUCUAAAAGAAAAAAGUUUAAAAACAUGUAAUGUUGGAAGAAGAGAUGAAGAAACCUUUAAAAUGACUCAAUAUAUUAAUCGAAUAGAAAAAUCAAUACCAAUAAUCAUGAGGAAGAACCGUUAUCAAUCAAUAAUGAUAGAGGAAUAAUAAAUGUGGAAUAAAUGAUAACUGAUAUUUAUUGUAUUGUAAUUUGUAACUUAUGGCAUAUGAAUAGUUUUACAAAAUAUUAUAUGAAAAAAAUAUAAUAAAAAAUAAAUUGCAAGUAUGAUAAUAAGAAAGAGGAAGAGUAUUUGUUAGAUAGAUUUUUUUUUUUUUUUAUGUGGCAAUAUUUGAAUAAGGUGGCACAAUAUUUGAUAAAGAUGUAGAAGUCUAUUUUAAUAUAUACAAUAGAUUUGUAACUUAUGGCAUAUGAAUAGUUUUAUAAAAUAUUAUAUGAAAAAAAUAUAAUAAAAAAUAAAUUGUAAGUAUGAUAAUAAGAAAAAUGAAGAGUAUUUGUUAGAUGUGUCAUAUCAGAUUUUUUUUUAUGUGAUAAUAUUUGAAUGAGGUGACACAAUAUUUGAUAAAGAUGUAUGAGUCUAUUUUAAUAUAUAUAAUAGAUAUGAAUAGUUUUACAAAAUAUUAUAUUAAAAAAAUAUAAUAAAAAAAUGAUAGAGGAAUAAUAAAUGUGAAAUAAAUGAUAACUGAUAUUUAUUGUAUUGUAAUUUGUAACUUAUGGCAUAUAAAUAGUUUUACAAAAUAUUAUAUGAAAAAAAUAUAAUAAAAAAUAAAUUGCAAGUAUGAUAAUAAGAAAGAGAAAGAGUAUUUGUUAGAUAGAUUUUUUUUAUGUGGCAAUAUUUGAAUAAGGUGACACAAUAUUUGAUAAAGAUGUAGGAGUCUAUUUUAAUAUAUACAAUAGAUUUGUAACUUAUGGCAUAUGAAUAGUUUUAUAAAAUAUUAUAUGAAAAAAAUAUAAUAAAAAAUAAAUUGUAAGUAUGAUAAUAAGAAAAAUGAAGCGUAUUUGUUAGAUAUGUCAUAUCAGAUUUUUUUUAUGUGACAAUAUUUGAAUGAGGUGACACAAUAUUUGAUAAAGAUGUAUGAGUCUAUUUAAUAUAUAUAAUAGAUAUGAAUAGUUUUACAAAAUAUUAUAUUAAAAAAAUGUAAUAAAAAAAUAAAUUGCAAGUAUGAUAAUAAGAAAGAGGAAGAGUAUUUGUUAGAUGUGUCACAUCAGAUUUUUUUGAUGUAACCAUAUUUGAAUGUGGUGACAAAAUAUUUGAUAAAGAUGUAGGAGCCUAUUUUAAUAAAUAUAAUAGAUAAUAGAUUCUAUUUUAAUAUAUUAUUUAUCUAAAAGAAAAAAGUUUAAAAACAUGUAAUGAUGGAGAAACCUUUAAAACGACUCAAUAUAUUAAUUGAUAGUUAAAACAUAUAAAGAGAAUAAUUGUUAUUAAUAAUCAUGAGGAAAAACCGUUAUCAAUAAUUGUGGAGAAAUAAUAAAUGUCGAAUAAUUGAUAACUCAUAUUUAUUGUAUUAUAAUUUGUAAUUUAUGACAUAUGAAUAGUUUUACAAAAUAUUAUAUAAAAAAAUGUAAUAAAAAAUAUAUUGCAAAUAUGAUAAAAAGAAAGAUGAAGAGUAUUUGUUAGAUGUGCCAGAUCAGAUUUUUUUUUUUUUUUAUGUGACAAUAUUUGAAUGAAGUGUCACAAUAUUUGAUAAAGAUGUAGGAGUCCAUUUUAAUAUAUAUAUAUAAUAGAUAAUAGAAAUAUAGUUUCACUUUUACAAAAUUCAUAAGAUGUCAUUUUUUUUAUAACAAAAAGUUAAGAUGAAUUGGUUUUAGAGGUUAAUCUGAAUUAGGGCAGACUUCUAGAUUCAAAUUGCACUAACAUUGUUAUUUAUUGAUCACCCACUAAAAAUGUCCUUGCACCAACAACGACAUUUAAACACAUAUCCUUGUAAAGAAUGAAUUAAACACCUUACAAACCAAUCGAAAAUCCAUAAAAUGCAAUUGCAAACGAGACAAAGAUGGUAAAAUAUACAACUUUCGAUAAAUAUUUGCUUAAACACAACAAUAAAUAAAUAAAUAGUGCUUAGACACUCAAAUAAAUAAAAAUAAAAAUAAAAUAUUUAUUUAUGAAAUAAUUAAAUGAUAUAGAUAUUUUUUAUGUGAUUGUAUCAAAAUAUUAUUUAUUUGUGCUUGUGCCUAAACUUUCAAUUCAAAUGAAAGUAAAUAUCUUUUAACCACUCUAUUUAGGUAUCUCAUUUUUUCAUAUAAGUUUUAUUCUUAUUUUUAUUCUUAUUAGCCACUACCACAUGCAAAAACUACACUUAAAAUGAAAAGUAAAGCAUAACCUCUAUAUAUAUAUGGUUCAAAUUAUUUGUCUUUAUAUGACCAUACAAUUCACAAAAUGACACAACUACAGUGUAACAUUAUUAGUGAAAUUGAAUUUAUCCUUGUUCAUUUCUUCAUUUAAUUAAAACCAAUAGCAUGGCUAUAACAUGAAAAAGGUAAUUCAAAUAUUUUAUGUUCACAAAAAAAAUUAGAAGGUACUUAUCCAAGUCACAUUCUUAUUCUUUUUUCUCCUAUUUUUUGUCACAUUGUUUUUACUUUACUUUUCAAUUUUUAAAGUCCUCCCUCAAUGAGUUGUGCUUCUAAUCAAUAUUUUGAUGUAAGUAGGGUAAUAUAUUUUCCAAAAAGUUAAAGAAUUAAAUAAAGUUGAAAUUAAGCAACAAAUAAUGAAGACAGAUUUUGAUAUAGAAGUAGGGUAAUAUAUUUGCCAAAAAAUUAAAGAAUUAAAUAAAGUUGAAAUUAAACAUUAAAUAAUGAAGACAAAUUUUGAUAUAGUUUCGAUUUAUAAACAAUGACAGAAAACGGUCUCUUCAAAUUAUGCCAAAAUUUUAUAUACACUAACAAGUCUUUAUAAAACUAUCAUUUUGAACACACUCUUUUAUCAAUGAAACAUAAGAAUCAUUUUGCAAAAUUGAUAAAAUAAAUAGUCAAACCACAAAAAUAGGGUCAAGCUCAGUUAAUGUCAACUAUCUCAUGGUUUGAUUAUUUCCUACUAUUAUUCAAUAUGCAAACAAAUAAUGCCAGAGAACAUUUUUAAUUUUUGUUAUUAUUUUUAAAAAAUAUGCAUGUUGACUCAACAACAUAACCAUGUGUAGGAUUGUUACGUUGACUCAAGAACAUAACUAUGUGUAGGAUUGUUAUGUGUGGCUAAACAUUAUACUUACUUAAAAAGUCAUAUUUUAUAGAAUUUAAAAAUACAUUUAACUCUAUUAAAGACAAGUAGCCAAUUUUAUCUUAUUGGAACUUACAUUUAUUCAUCAAACCAAUCUAUAAACUAAAGAAUUUAACAUUAUUAUGAAGAAAAAUAAAAUUUUAACAGUAACUCUCGUUAUAAUCUAAACCUUAAAUUUUCUAGCUACCAAAUAAAAACUCUAUAUAUGUGAAUAGUAAACAUGUAUGAUAUAAUGACUAAUUCACCAACUACUCCUCUUAUCAAAUUACUACUUUGAUCAAUCUCUUUUGUUCAAUAAAGCAAAUAAAUCAUCUUUUCAAUUUGAUUAAAAUCAAUAAUAAUUUGUCUUUACAUGCAUGAUAAAUUUAUGAGCUGUUUACUUUCUCCUUUUUUUAAUAAUGUUGGUUUACAUUUAUUUAUCAUAGAAAAUACUAAUAAGAAAAUGACAAAUAACUUGUCAUAAAAUGAUAAAUUAAUAUAUUUCCUUUUACCUCUUACACCUAAAAGAAUACCUUUUUAUACUUUUGUUGCAUAAAACUAAACAUACGCCUAUCUAUCAAUUUUGCAAAUCAAAAGUAUUAUUACUCAUAUGGUGAUUGAUUUUUCUGAUUUAAUAUAAUGUAUGAAUAAGAUAAAUUACAGAAAAAUAAUGAAAACGAAGAUAUUAUCCUAGUUCUUCUUAUGACCAAGGGUACAUCCAGUCCUCUUGCACACUACAAUAUAUUUUUCCACUAUUAUCAGAAAAUGUACAAAUCCCACCCAAGGAUCUCUGCUACAAACUUCUAACAAAAACUUCCAAGAUAACACACCACUAUCUUAGAUUAGACUACUUUAAGAAAGUACUACUUUCUUUUACAAAUAAUGUAAUUUGAUUUGGAAUAAGAAUAAGAAUGGUUUAAUGAUAUCAAUCCAAUAUUAUUUCAAGAGUAUUUUGAGAACCUUUCUCAAUGAUAUGAAAAUGUAAUACAAGUACUUGAAAUAAAAAAAAUAACUUUGAAAAAAAAUAAAAAAUUUGUUCAAGGUUUGGUAGUAGGAUUGUAUGUCCAUUAAUAUAAAACUAUGGGGUAUUUAUACUCCAUAGAUAUCACUUCAAAUAGGUGGCCAUUGUUCCAAGAAUUUUGAUGAACAAAUGCAUUGAUCUAGAGCCAUUUCAGAUAUGAAAAAUUGCAUUGUUUCCAGUUGUAUUCGAAUAUAGUAUGUAUGUAUUCGAAUACACCUAAGAAUCCCACAUUGGAUGAACUAAGACUUGACAAAAUAUUUAUAAAUAAUGGAUAAUUUUUAUCUUAAAAAUCACUUUCGUGAGAGUUGUGCAAGAUUCAAUUCAAAUUUCAAGAUGAUAUUAAAAUUUAUUUAAAAUCUAUUGAACUAUCACGUUCCUGAAUCCCAUCCCGACUCCCUUACCACUUCCUCUCUCUCUCUCUCUCUGAAUAUAAUAUAUAUGGUUUGCUCUACAUAUCACACUUUUCUUCUCUAAUAAUAUUUUCUUCCUCUUUACAUAUACGCACACCCCCACAUUUCUUCCUAUCCUUGUUUUCAUAGUAAUCAUCAAACGUUUCAUUAUUAUUCCAUAUUAUAUAUAUUUUACCCCACUCUCUAACCUCUACACUACAAAUUAACCUCAUGCUUUCACUCCACAUCCUAUCCUUCUACACUCUCCAAUUGGUUAACACCAAUUCCUUUUUUAUUACAUAUGUCACAACACACAACACCACUCAACUCUGCUAAUUUGUGUUGCUAAUUUAUUAUAUAUAAAUAUAAUGUUUUUAUUUGAUAAUUUUGAUUAUAUGGUUUUUAAUAUAAAAGCACUUAUUCAUUUUCUAAUUGGUCUCAUACAUUUAUAUAUGCAGUACUGAAUUAACUUGAUUGUUUCAACUUACAUUAGUCUCUCGGACAUACAGGGGAGGAGACAAAGGCAUUAUUAUUUUUACUAUACUUACGAUAAAUUUUCUUUUACAUUUUUAGCUUAAAUAUUUUAUAUUAUGUUUAAUUAAUAAGAAUAAAUAUAAUGCUCUAAUUAAGAAUAUAACCGGUUGUAUUAAACUUUUAGUUAACUAUAUGUUAAUAUUAUUAAUCAUUAAGUGAUCGAUCACUCCCAUGGAGCAUAACGAUCAAUUAUGCAUGUUUUCAAUAACUUUUGGUAGCAUUUAGGUUCUAGAGCAUAGUGGUUUUCAUAAAAAAAAAAAAGAAAAAAAAAAUUGCUAUUGAACAAAGAUAUAUCAUAUGAAGGUAAGGUUGGAUUAGAUGCAUAAUUGCUCAUGAGCUCCAAUAUAAAAUUCGUUAACCUGAACAAAACAUUAUUUUCAUUCCUUCCUUAGGAACAACAUAAAUAGUAGGUUGCAAAAAUAAAAAGUAUAAACUAAUAUAACAUAGUAACUCAUCCAAGUACAUCAAGUAAUCUAUAAAAUUCUGCCAAUUUCCAAUCUGCAUUGAAGAACAACAAUGUCAGUUUUUCUUAAGGAGGAAUAAUUUCAAACAAUGAAUAUAAUUCAAGGAACCCCAAAACUGCAAAAUAAAAAAUAUUAACCACAUUAAUACAAGAAAAAGAAUCUAUAAGAAUAAGAAAGGAAAUAAAUAAAUAACUAAAUAAAUAAAUAGAUUUGGAAGAGAGAAAUGGAAAGUAGAGAGAAUGAGAGGCAGGUGCCACCCAAAAUAUGCAACACACGUAAAUAGAUGUAACCAAAAUAUUUUAAAACAAAAAUUCAACCUACACGUUUUCUGUGGAUAUAGAAAAUGAGAUAGAGAAGGAAAAUGUCAAAAAAAUAAUAUAACUGAUUCUUGUUAAACUUAUAAAUAUCAAUAUAAAUCAUAUCAUUUAUCUUCUUUGAUUUUAUAUUACUAUCAAUGAUUUAAUGCAGAGACCUUAAUAAUGACAUUUUCAAUUAUGCGUGCAUUGAUGACACAGUCUUGUGUGUGCAUUGAUGAUAUUAAACUUUGUGCGUAUAUUAAUUACACACUUCAAGUGGUCUUUACUAUUUUAGUGAAUUUAGAUUAAGUAGAAAUUAAAGUUUUGUUAAUUAAAACAUAUAUCUCUAAAUCAUCUAUCAUUGGUGCUUUAGUAUAACUAUUGACGCAUUAAUUCUUAUUACACUUAUAAACAUCAAUGUAAAAUCAUAAAAUUAUUAUCGAUGAAACAAAAAUAAAAUAAAGGCAUUCACUUUGUAUAAACCAAUAUUCUAAAUAAUUCACUUAUUUUUUUGAUGGAAACUAAUUAGUCCAAUUUCCAACAUGAAAAACUAAUUAUAGUAUUCUCUUACAUGAAAAAUAUACAAAGUUUAUUGUUGAUGGUGCUUGUUUUGCCCAAUUCACAAACAUUUUAUCUUUCAUUGCUUUCAGUCAAAAAUCACAUAAAUUCAUUCACCUCAAUUGGUUCACCACUUUUGCAGUCACGUGUUAUGUGAUUAUGAUGACUUGUGUGCCUCUCAUGUGCUUGUGUUGAAAUUUGCAACAAAAAUCUCCAGAUCUUAAUUUACAGCUUGUCGAAACAAAACAAAAAAUCAACAAAAGCAAAUGCAUCCACAAACCCCUUUUUUUUAUUAUUUCUAUUACAAUGUAGAAAUAUUCCACUAAAAUAGUUGUUUACAUGUUUGUGAAAAGUUAUUUUAAAUAAGUAUGAAGCUCAAACAAAAGAUUGCUAACCACAAAUUUGUGAUAACUGCAAGGACUGUAUUGUGGACGAUGUUAUAAGAUGUUUUGAAGAAGAAAUAAAUUGAUAAAUACUUUCUAUUUCAACUCAAACACACACGUAUAUGAGUAAAUGGAGAUAAACUUCGAAAAUAAGAAUAAAUUGUUGAAAUCUACUUAUAUUAAUAGAGGAUGUAUAUAAUAAUAUGCAUCGAAUAAGGCUCGAAUAAAUGAAUAAAUUGCCUUGAACAAUUCUUGGAAUAUGAAGGAUAAUCCUUGAACAAAUGAAUGAUUGAAUGCAUGAAAUGAGAUUAGAAUACAAAAUAAUCAAUGAAUGGAAUGGUUGUAAUGGGAAUUUAAAAGGACGAUUAAUAUUCUGUUUGAUUGUGUUUUACUUUUUAAUUUUUAAAAAUUAUUUUAUAAAUAAAUUUUAGAAAACUGUUUAUAAAAAGAAAAUUUUAAAAAAAUAUGUUUGGCAAUUUCAAUUUUUAAAACAGUUUUUGUCUAGAAAGUUAAAAAAAUUGAAAAAUAUAAAGUAAAACACUAUUUAUCUACUUUGUUUUUUUUGUUUUAAAAAGUAUAGUAUUAAAAAUAGUUUUACAAAACAAUUUUUAAAAACAAAUUAUUCAAAUAAGUUUUUUAAUUUUAAAAUAUUAAAAUAGAAUUAUUAAAAUUAAUGUGAAUCAAACAAACGAUAAGUAAUUAUGCAUUAAUUAUUAUACAGUUAAGCUGCUAAAGAAUGAGUGGACUAUUAUGGAUUAGAUUGAUGCCAAUUUUAGAAGGAGUAUUAGGAUUUUAGAGAUUUUAGGAUUGGGGGACUUAAUAGGAUUUAGAUAUAAUAGAAAUAGAUUAUGGUUGAGGUCUUUUCUGUAAAAGAAAUUGUCAUUUAAUGUGUGUUUAUUUUCCAAACACUGAGAAACUAUGGCACCUCAUUUGCACCAUGAAAAUACACAUUUAUAAAAUCAUGUAAUAUCAGCAACAAAAAACUUGAGGGGGUGGUAAGAGUUUAGUUGUAAUUUCAAGAUAUGAAUUUAAAUUUCUACAAAGACAAUGUAAAAUAAUUAUUAGUAUUAUUUUGAUUAAUAUAAAAAGUUCGCUUUUUGCAAUUUUAUUUUUAAAUAAAAAACAACAAAAGACAAAUGCAUAAAAUCACAUAAAAAAAUCAAAUAAUUUCAUAAAAAUAUAAAACCACUCGUGAAAGAGUGAUCAAAUCAAACUAAUUAUUGAUUUUUUUUUUCUCAUGUUUUAUAAACAUAAAUAUUAAUAAAAUUAUAAUUCCAAGACUACACGUACAAACUUGUAUUUCACGCAUGACAACACAUUGGAUAAGUAUAUAUAAUUGCAACAUAUAGAUAGUUAGAUACAUUGAAAACAAAAGCGUGAAAUCCCAAAUUUCGUUGUUUGGGUGUGUUUGAUAGAUUUGGAAGAAAAUUAACAUUUAAGGAGAAACACAUAAUUUCAUAACCUUAACGUUGUGAUACCGCAUGAAAAUUUUAGUUUUCGAUUAAGAAUUUAUAUUCAAGAAAAUUAUUAUAAUUAUAAAAACAUUAAAAUCAUACAUUAGAGGAUACACUUUCUUUCAUGAUUGUACGAUGAAAGAGAGUAGAGACAAUAAUACACAAUCUUUCCUUUUUCGUUUGUUAUUUUCCAAAAUCAUUUGUUGAGGACUAUUAGCAGAGUAAGCUCAUAGAAAAUACAUAAUCCUUUUUCGAAUAUUAAUGAUCAGUAACUCUCAUCAAGUUACCAUUAUUUAUAAAGGUUAUUAACAUUUCUUAAUAAUAACACAUUUUCACUUUAUUUAAUAAAGUAAAUUUCACAAGAAUAAUGAUAAUUAAUUACAUUAUUCUUACACAUAAAGAACAUAAACAUAUAACAAAGCACAACAAGACAAAAAGAAGAGAAAAUAAUGCCAAUAUAAUUCCCACUUAGAAAUGCUCAUUGGCCUAAUUUCAUCCUUGCACCUAUGCAUAAGCCCCAAUUUCAUCCAAAAAAAAGUUAACUCAUGAACAUAAAUUCAUAAUAUACACAUAUCAACUAAGUUGUAAAUUCAUAAUAGAGCUGGGACCAUACGAAGAGGUGCUUUGCCUAGUACCAUGAAAAAGGUAGAACGAUUAUAAAAUUUCAUAAUUUGACGGAAGUAAUUGAGCAAGUUAUAAAUGACAAGAGUCAAUUUUGGCUUUUUAUUAAAGUUUACACAUGUUAAAGUUUUCUUAAUUAAUUUUCAUUUUACUAUCCUUAUAUAUGGUAAAUAAAAAACAAGCAUUAUAUGUUUGUUAAUAAUGUUACAAUAUGACAACAUUAGGCUUAUAUAUUAAUGUGGACUUUAAUGUUGUCCCCUUGAGACUUACAAGAAGCUAUUGUUGAUACGUCUUAUGAUGUCUUUGUAGGGAGUCCAGAUCCUCUUAUAGAGUGUUUGGUGAACCUUGUGAUUAAGAUAUAUUUUUAUUAUUUCUUAGUUUUAAAUUUUAGUUUUAUUUUAUAUUUUAGUUUUAUUUUAUCUCAAUUAGGUUAUUCUAUUGUUUUAUUUACAUAUUUGGCAUAGUCGACCUUUGCAUGCCUUAAUCAAUGAAUUGACCAGUCACCAAUUACAAUUGAGAUUAUAAUUCUUGUAUGAUGAAAUAUAUAUACUAAUCUUUCAAUCACUUAACCUCUUGGUUCUUUAUACUUUCUCUUAAUUAUAUUUUUUGUAUGAUCAAUCAAAAAAUCAAUUUAGAGAAAAAAAAUAUUACAUUGAAUGACGAAUCUUUUUAAUAGUUUCAAAGAGGAAUUGAUAAUUGAGAAAAUAAAUAAGAAUUUAUAUAAGCCUAGGACUUGAGGUAUUGAUUUUACAAGUGAAACUAUGACCCUAGCUAUGUUUACUUUCUAUUAAUUCAAAGUUGUGUUGUUACAUAUUCUUAUCAUAAUUUUUUAUGUUAUCGUUACGUUUUUGUUAUAGCGAGCGGACCAGCAAUAAUUUUGACGAGUCUAAAUAAUAUAAAAACUUGAUUAGUUUAGUAAUUGUUAAAUUAAUCUAUGUAGAUAUGAUAAUCUUAUAUACUAUUACUUGACAAAUCCGUACAUUUGCGAAAUUUUGCACAACAAUCACCACCACCUUUAGACAACCAAUGUCCAGCAACCAUAGAAGCUCUCUUGUGUUAAUCAUACGGGUUACAGAAAAAUAAAACAAAAUAUAAGUUUUAUUACAUCUCUAAUCCACAGCUAAACUGCAACAUGCUCUGAAAAAUGACCAUAAGACAGACUUAUCCUUAUGACCUGCAAAAACCAUUCUAUGUGAUUUACAAUGACAUGUUUGUAGAUAUUGGACCUCUGCUACAACUACAGGGACCUUCUCCUCUUGAAAUUCUAGACUUCAUUGUCCAUGUUUUGAAGGUUGACCAUCAUUAGUGUAGUACCUCAAUUUUGUCCUAUAAAAUAAAAAUAAUUUAAAUAAAAAUAUGUUUGUCUAAAAAUUAUAAAAAAAUUGUAGUAGAUUUAUAUUACAUUUUAAUAUAAAUAAAUAAAUAAAACCAACAAAAAAAAGAAAUAAAGAAACUUAAAAUAAAAGAGUCCCUAUUUCUCUGAUUUGGCGUGUGCUAUUUCUUGUUUUGACGUGUACAGUGCCGUAUCCAUAUGAGGUUGCGUCUCCAUAUGGAGUUGCUUGAUCAUGUUGUAAAAGCAGUGUAAAAUCCAGAACAACAACCCAAACCAGUGUAAAAUCUAGAACACACAACCACUCCCCUUAAAUUGUACCAGUUUGCUUGCUUGAUGUAGUUGUCAAACCAGUUUAAAAUCCAGAAAUUUACAACCCUUCAUCGUUUUUGUCUAUAUAUUGAAACAAAAAUUCAAUAAGAGAAAGAAAGAAAUCAGACGAUAAAAUUGGGAUUUUCCUUUCUUUCUGAUUCUGGUUUCCAAAAUACAAUAGAAAUAGAGCAAUAUCAAAGAAGAAGAAGAAUCUGCCAUCAUACUUUUUCCAUCAACCCAUAACCUUAACCUUAAAUCACUAACAACAAGGGUAUUUUCCUCAUUCAUAGGUUUGCUGUUGUAUAUUAUUGAAAAAUUGAAUUUUUGUUUUUGAUGUGUAUGAAUAGAGUUUUGGUUGAGAUUUUUGAUGUGUAAUUAGAUUAGUUUUGUACUAAGUUUCUGCUUCUGUAUUUUGAAUACUUGUUUACCCUGUUAGGCUGAUACACAUUUCACCCACGCCAAUUGUUUGUUAGUUGUAUUCCAUUCUAUUCUACUGAGUAUGGAUUGAUUUAAUAAUAUAUUUGUGUGGUGGAUGAACCUUUUUUUAGUUUCUCUAUUUUCAGUAUUUAUUUCUUUUAAUUAUAAUAAUUCUAUUUUAAUGAUGGACAUAAUUAAAAGGUGAUAAAUAUCAUUUAUUUUAAGUUAUAGUAGUUUUUUUUGGUUUAUGCUAUUUAGUUUUAAAAAUGAAUUUUAUUUCUUCAUUUAUUAAAUUUUAGAAAAAAUAGUUUAAAAGAGGGUUACAUUUAUAAUUAGUAUUAAAUUUUUUUUUUAUUUAUUUAAUAGAUUAAGUUACAAGUCUAUAUAUUUUUCUUUUCACUAUUUUAUUUCAAAAAAAUCGUUUAAACUUAUUUAAUAUGUAGUAUCAAUUUUAUUUUUUUAUUAUUUUUGAAGUUGUUAAGAUACAAAUUAAACUAUUUGUUUGUUUUGAAAUUCAAUUUAAAAAUAAAAAAUAAAAUAUUCUUAAGAGGAUUAAAUUAGAUGUGACAUCUUUUUACUCCUCGAGUUUUGAGACACGAGUUGUACAGCUAGAUCGUUUUAAAACUCAUAUUUUAAAAUAAUUAUUCAAAUCAAACAAGUUUUUUUUUUAUGUUCGUCAAAAUUAACUUUUUUAAGUAACAAAAUACAAUUUAUUUAAAAGCAAUCAACGCAUUCACAUUUUUCUACCAAGAACUACGUAGCUUUGAUUUCUCCAUCGCACCGGGAGAUACGUAGGAGCAAGAUCACACUCUUGUCAAACACACUAAUAAAAACUUUCUUUUUUUCCACUCUUUUUUAACACACUUUUAUCUCAAAAAAUCACAUUUAUAAAAAACAAUUUAUAUUCAUAUUUAAUAAUAAAGAAAAAUAAAUAUAUUUAAGUUGAUAUAAUUUUACACAAUUAAUUAAUGGUAACCGUAUUUUAACGGAUGUCGUAGGGUGCUAAUACCUUCCUACGCAUAAUCGACUCCCGAACUCAAAAUCUAGUUUCAAAGACCAUUUUUACAUUUUUAAGGGUUUUCCAAUAUUUUCCCUAUUUUAAAAUAAAUUUUGGUGGCGACUCCAUUGAAUUCGAGGAAAACUCGAAAUUUUAGGCCGCGACAAUUAGUUAUAGGACCAAAUAUCAAUCUUAGCUCAUCAACAGUUAUUUGACCAACAUGCAACAAUUUUAUAUUAGAUUUACUUUACAAUAACUUGUUAAAUCCUCACUAUGUAUUAGGGAGAUUUAGUUAGGAUUAUAUUUGUUAGUUUUGUUUAGUUAAAAGUUGUUAGCUUUGUUAGUUACAAGUUAACUAACUCAAUGGUCAGCUCCUAAUGUCUGUAUAUAACAGCUGAUACAAGAGCACAAGAAUGUAAUUUUUCAUUCAAUCAAUAUGAGGUUUAUUUAGUAAAACUUAAUCUUCAUUAUACCAUCUAUUAUGGGAGUCUUGAUCAUUUUGUUGAUCGUUUUUCUUGAUUCUUUCAACAAUGGUUAGACAUAACAUCAGCAAUACCCAUAGCAAUUUGAACCAAGGGAACCUUGACCUUGCGCAAAACAAUCACAACCCUUAUUAUAUCCAUCCAAGUGAAGGACCUUCAUACCUCACAAUCACACCUUUUUUCAAUGGCUACAACUAUCAUACUUGGAAAAAAUGCAUGACACGAGCACUUCUUGGAAAAAAUAAAUUGGAAUUUCUUGAUGGAAGCAUCCCUCUACCUGACACUUUCGACCCUGAACACAAGUUAUGGCUUAGAUGCAACAACUUGGCGCUUUAUUGGAUCAUCAAUUCAGUUUUUCCCUCUAUUGCUCAAAUUUUAGCCUUCAAGGACAAUCCUCACACAUUAUGGAGUGAACUUAAAGGCAGAUUCUCACAAAGUGGUUUGAUUAGAAUUUCAUAACUACAAAAAGAAAUGCAUUCUUUGAAACAAGGUGAAUGAACCGUUUCUGGUUAUUUUACUGCCCUUACUGUGAUUUGGUAGGAAUUGUACAAUUUAAGACCUAUUCUUCAAUGUACUUGUGAUCUUGCAAAAUAUACAAAAGAACAAUUUCAGAUUAAUGGAACCUAACCUUGCGUAAUGGCCUAAAAGAACAAUUUCUACAAUGGAAACAUGGUAAUACAAAUGAAAAUUCAUAUUCCAAUGUGUUUGCAAAUGCUGUUGAUGGAAAAAUAUACUAUGGAAAAGGAAAACGUGGACGCAAAUCUUGCACUUAUUGUGGAAAAUUGAGACAUUCUGCAGAAGUAUGUUACAGAAAACAUGGCUUUCCACCAAAGCCAAAGAAUACUAGUUAUUCAAAUAAUUCCUAUAGGGAAGAAAGUGUUGGAAGGUCAGAUGAUGAUCAAGAUCUAGAAAAAAAAGUUAUGGAAGCAAGGAUCGAGCUCAUUUCUCUCAGGAUCAUUUAAAAAGCAUCAUGGCCUUGAUUUAACAAGUUACCCUUGAAUCAAAGCAUUCUGCAAACAAUAUGAUGUCUUCAUGACAAGUUUAAUUGACACCAACAAAAUAUUCAACAGGUAAAACAACCAACUAUUAUUCUAAUUUUGAUCUAGAAAGUGAAUCUAGGAUAUUGGAUUUUGGUGCCACAAAUCAUAUUUGUUUUAAUUUGAAUUCCUAUUCCAAAAUUUUCAAAAUCAAUCCUAUUACUGUCAAUUUACUAUAUAGGCUAUUGCACAUUAUGCAAGAUCAAUCAUAUUUACUAACUAUUUAAGAUUACAUGAUGUGCUAUAUUUGCCCCAAUAUUUUUUUUUUUUUAAUUUAAUUUCUAUUGCUAAGUUAUGUAAAUCAAUCCAAUGUUCCAAUAUUUUUCAUACUAAUACUUGGGUUAUACAGGACAACAAGACUUUGGGGAAGAUUGGUUUAGCUAAGUUGCAAUAUUGAUUGUACUUUCUCCAAGAGUCUAAGCUAUAAUAUAGGUAUUUAAAAACAAUGUAAAUAACAUACAUAACAUUUAUGUAUGUACUCUUUGACAUUUUAGAUUAGGACAUGCAACAAACAAAUGUACUCUUACUAUGAGUAGAUGUUUUCCUUUUACUAAUUCUGCUAAGCAUAUUUGUGACAUUUUCCAUUUUUCUACACAAAGAAAAGUAAAUAAUUGUGUUAGUAAAAGCAAUGCUUGAUGAUUGCACUAGAUAUCCAUGAGUUGUUUUUAUGAAGCACAAAUAUGAAACCAAACAUCACCUUAGCAAUUUUGUUAACACAAUCUCCACUUGAAUUAAUGCUAAGUUAAAUGUGUUGCGAAGUAAUAAUGGACCUGAGUUCAUUUGUUUUGAUUUUUACUCCUCUAAAGGUAUUAUCCAUCAAACAAGUUGUGUGGAGACCCCCUAAUAAAAUGGAAGGUUUGAAAUAAAGCAUCCACACAUACUUGGGGUGGCUCGUGCUCUCCUUUUUCAAUCUAAUCUCUCUAAAGGUUUUUGGUUAUAUGCUAUUGCUCCUACUAUUUAUAUUAUAAAAAGAAUUUAUACUCCUAUUUUGUCUAAUAAGUCUCUUUUUGAGGUUUUACAUAGAUAUUUACCUUAUCUGAGUAACCUUAGAAUUUUUGGAUGCCUUUGUUAUGGUUCAACUCUUGUUUCCCAUCGUUUGAAGUUUGACCAUAGAGCUAGAAAAUUCAUUAUUCUGGGUUUCAAACUAGGAACAAAGGUUUUUGUGCUAUAUGACUUGGGUAACAAGGAAACUUAUGUUUCAAGAAAUGUCACUUUUGAGGAGUUAAUAUUCCAUUAUAAAGCUGAUUCAGAUCAAUCUUCUAAUGUUCAUUAAGAGUGUGUUGAAAUUGACCAUCCUAAUGGACACAAUAAUCAAGUCCCAAUCCAUGUUAUCAGCCUUGAUGCCCAAGCAACGAAUCAUGACUCAUCAGACUUUGAUCAUGAGCCUAGUCUAGCCAGCUUCCCUGAGCCAGAUUCAACACAAGCUCGUGAGCCUCCUGAAGUCAGCUCACAUGCACAAGCCUCAACACAUGAUAACAUUUCUUCUCCUGCCUCAACCUUCAACAAUGGUGGUCCUAGAAGGUCAAUAAGGACAUCUAAUCUACCACCUUACCUAAGCAAUUAUAAUUGUAAUAUGUAUACAACAUCAUAUACUCUCUAUCCAAUUUCAAAUUCUGUUUCUUAUACUAGUCUCUCAACUAUGUAGAAAAUUGGAGAAAGGCAUUGACAGAGGAAUUAUAAGCACUUCAAGACAACAAUACUUAGAAGAUUGUUGAUUUACCAGCCGGAGUCAAGCCCAUAGGAAGUAAAUGGGUGUUCAAAAUCAAAAGAAAGCAAGAUGGGACUAUUGACAAAUACAAGACAAGGUUGUUUGCUAAAGGAUACAAUCAAAGGGAAGGACUUGACUAUUAUAACACUUUUAACCCAAUCACUAAAAUCAGGGUUCUACUAGCUCUUGCAUCAAUUUUCACAGAUCUUUUGGCAUCAACAUAUUGGUCAAUUGAAGUAUUUCAUAGGGUUGGAGGUGGUUGAAUCUAGCAGAGGGAUAUUCAUUUUUCAAAGAAAAUAUUGUAUGGAUAUUCUCACAAACAUUUUGACAUUGUUUGUCAUAUUGUUAUAAGGAAAGCCAACCAUGAAGCUACUCCAUGUCUCCAGCACUGACUAGAUUGUAGAUUUCUUCACCAAAGGUCUUAAUCCAAGUAAUUUUUCCAUUUUCAAGUCCAUGCUUGGUCUUCUAGAUAUAUAUCUUAGCUCAUCAGCAGUUACUUGACCAUCAAGCAACAAUUUUAUAUUUGGUUUACUUUGCAUGAUUGUUAAAUCCUCUCUAUGUAUUAGGGAGAUUCAGUUAGAAUUAUGUUUGUUAGUUAUGUUCAGUUACAAGUUGUUAACUUUGUUAGUUACAAGCUAACUAACUCAAAUGGAUAGCUCCUCUAGUCCCUAUAUAUAGCAGCUGAUACAUCAGCACAUGAAUGUGAUCUUUCAUCAUUUUUCAUUCAAUCAAUAUGAUGUUUAUUCAAUAAAAUUUAAUCUUCAUUUUACCAUCUACUAAUUAGGCUUUAGAAACACCUCAAUUUCGUGCCACAUCUACAUAAUUGUUAUAUAUUUUUCUUUUUCAUAAUAAUAUAAUAUUGUAAUAUAAGUUGAACCUAAUUCCUUAAAUUAUUUCAAUUCUGAAACCAAGUUUUGAGUUCCCACAAGCUACAUUCCAAUAAAAUUCCUCGACUUAUUUAGUCAUAUAAAUCCACAUGUCAAAAUAGUCGUUUGUGUAUAUUACAUUAAUGAAAACUAACACAUCAAAAUUGAAAAUUGAAAAAAUGACAGUAACAGAAAGAAAGGCUCCCUCGAUCAAAGCCCACUAACAACAACGCCUAAUGUUUGCCUAUAGAAAGCACCAUCAUUGUGUUGGUUAUCAUUCUCUCCAUUAAGGGACAUUUGUACAGCUUUCAUUAGCUGCACAACUUUCAUUAGUUGUUUCAUAGAAAUAUUCUAUUACCAUUGAUAGCCGUAUAAUAUCUUUUCUUUCUUGUAAGUAAUUGAGUUAAUUAGGAUUUAAUAAGCUUCUUGAUUUACUUGUACUCCUUAGACUAUUUAUACCGUAUUGUAUUUUGUACAAAAUCAAUGAGAAAUACAACAUUUUUCACAUAGUAUUAGAGCUACAAUUUUGAUAUGAGAAAUUUUUUUUAGGGUUUUCUUAUGGUAGAAAAACAAAGCUGCCCAAGCAUCCUAGAUGUUGACCCUAAGGCAGCAAACACCACUAGGCAUCAGGAAACAAUUAUCAUUACUAACUACAAACUCAAUGGAAAAACUACGCACAGUGGUCCAGACAUUGAGUACUAUCAUACACUCAUAAAAUACUAGCAACAACUUGAUAUCUAUGCAAACAUAGAGUGGAAGUGCACAAAUGAUGACAAAUUCUACAAAAAAACUGGUAGAGAAAGACAUAAUCUUGCAGUUCCUAUUGGGACUGAAUACAAAUUUGGAUGAAGUGAGACGGAGGAUUAUGGGAACUAAGUAUCUCCCUAGCAUUUGUGAAGCAUUUUCAUUUUCAUAAGUAAGAAGGGAAAAAAGCAUAAGGAAAAUCAUGUUGGGAAGUCAAAGUGCAAGUUCAAACAUUGAAGUCUCUACACUUGUAGCAACAGGUCCACCAAAAAAAGGUAGAGGAUGGUGCAAUCACUGCAAGCGACCUGGACAUACAAAGGAAACAUGGUUGGUGCUUGAUGGAAAACCCGCAUAUGUGAAACCACGAUUCAAGGACGCAUACACAUAUGUUGCUGCUGAUAAUGCAAGUAAUUCCAUAAACAUUGCAGAUGCCAACCCUUUCAACAAAGAACAAAUAGAGAUGUUGCAUAAAUUGAUGCAAUAGACAUUGCAAAACACUAGUGCCUCUUCUUCCACUACUACUCUUGUCCAAAAGGCAAUUUUUCUAUUGCCCUUCAUGUAAGUCACCCAAAAAAAAAAGCCUCUUGAAUUGUUAUUUUGGUGCCUCAGAUCGCAUGACUGAGGACUUCAAUGUAUUUAGCAAAUACACUCCAUGUCAAGAUGGAUCUUUUAUCCGAAUAGAAGACGAUACCACUCCAAGGUGGUUGGUAAAGGUUCAGUCUCUAAGGAUAUUACUCUUGAUUUAGUUUUACAUGUUCCUAAACUAGAUUGUAGUUUAUUGUCUAUAUGUAAAUCAACCUAAAAUUUAGGAUGUGUUGAUAAGUUUUUACCACAUUUGUGUGAAUUUCAGGAUAUGAAUUCGAGGAAGAUAAUUGGUAAUGCAGAGGAAAGUGCGUACCUUUACUUCCUUAGAGUUGAAGACCAAAAUAAGAGAUCCUACAAAGCUGCCCUUAUGCGUUCAUCAAAGAAUGAUAAUGAUGUAAUGUUAUGGCAUUAUUGCCUAAGACACCUAAAUUUUAUGAAUUUGAAAAAAAUGUUUCCAUCCUUAUUAAUAAAGAUUAUGGUUCUUUCAAAUGUGAAGUGUGUGAAUUAACCAAACACACCAAAUCCCAUUAUUCCAUACAACCUUAUAAGGCGUCUAAACCUUUCACACUCAUUCAUAGUGAUGUGCGGGGACCUUCAGGAGUGAUAAAUUUUACUGGAUCAAGGUGUUUUGUCACUUUUAUUGAUGAUCAUACAAGAGUCACUUGGGUGUUUAUCAUGAAAGAAAAAUAUGAAGUUGGGAGUAUAUUUGAGAACUUCCAUAAAAUGGUCCAAACCUAAUUUCAAAGCAACAUUCAAGUACUAAGAACUUAUAAUGGAUGGGAGUACUUCCACCACACCCUUGGUAGUCACCUUACCAAAAAUGACAUUAUACACCAAGCAUCAUGUCCAUACUCUCUGAUCCGCUAUUGUACACGGGUCAAAUACAAUUGAUAAAAUAUAAAUAGAGGUGAUAACCCGAAUCGUUUCGCAAGGACUUCUGAUAUAAUAAUAAUAACAUAAUUGAAAAUUGAAAUUAAAAAGGGGUUUUUUAGAUUUUUUAUUUAACAGAUGAUCAAAACGAUUAAUCCAUUUAUUCGAGUUUCAGACCUACCACAGAUUCUAUGAAUGAGUUUAAUCUCUAAUUUGUGAUUCUAUUCUUAUUUGACUAUAGAAUUGAUCAAACAAGCGUAAUCAAUCCUAUGUGAAUUUGGUUUCUUUGAUUGGAUUAAGCAUCACAAUCAUCAAAAUAUCACAAUUAACAAUCAAUCGUCGCAAAAUUAUAAUUCAAUUAAAUUAGAAACCGAAACCAAAUUCUGUCAAAUAAAUUUAAUCAAUCCUAUUGAAAUUCAAUUUAAGCAAUCAAAAUAUCAAUAUAAUCAAAUAAACAAGAAUAGAAUCAGAAUUGAAAUUGACAGUGUAACCUGAAUCUCAAGGUGUUGAUGAAGUUCUGAACUCGUGGAUUAAUCUUAUAAAGUUAGUCUUCCAUGAAAUUAAAAUAAAACUGUUUAUUUCUUGUAGCAAUUUAAAUCCUAAUAUUUUCGUCUUUAGAAAAGAAACAAAACUGCCAAUAUAUAGUACUUGAUAUAGAUUACGAAAUUUGCAAUUUAAGCCCAGUAAAGUUCAUAAUUAGUGUUUUCUUCCAACACAAAAGUUGUAGCUCAGAUUUUUAUCUUUCCAACGUCUGCUCAUAUGCGCCAAUUUGAUAUCCAGAGCUCAAGUUAUGACCUACAGAGCGAGGAAGAGUCAAAAUACAAAUAAUAAAAUUAUAAUUCAAAUUCGACCCAAAGUUUAGAAAGAAGCUAAAAAUAUUAAUCUAAGCUAUAAAGAGCUUUUAAAAUACCAAACUAAAAAGCUAAAAACAUGUGCCCAAAUGCUAUGAUCACUCUCCACAAUAGAAUGGAACAAUAGAGAGGAAAAUAAGCAUCUAUUGGAAGUCACUGGAGCCCUCAUGUUGCCUAUGAACGUACCUAAUCAUUUUUAGGGAGAUGCAGUCUUCUCUUCAUCCUACAUAAUAAAUAGAAUGCCCUCCAAAACACUCAACCUAAACAUACCACACCAAACCAUCUUGUUCGUUUAUCCUUCGACCAAACUCUUCACAAAUCUUUCACCAAAGAAUUUUAGAUGUAUUGCCUUUGUAUAUGACCAAAAGCCUAACUUUAAUAAGUUGGACCCAAAAGCCAUCAAGUGUAUCUUGUUGGGAUAAUCUCCUACCAAGAAAGGAUACAAAUGCUACGGUCCUCUAAAAAAACGAAUCUAUAACACUAUAGAUGGUACCAUUUUUUAAGACAAGACUUUUUAUCCCAAAGUUGACAUUCAGGGGGAGAAAGUUAGAUUUGAUGAACACCAACCUUGGAAAAUUACAAUACCAUAACUUUUCCUACAUGAACAUGUCUUAACCAUUCCACCCGAACCUUUCCAAAUCCCACUUGAACUUGUCCAAAUCCCACCAGAAUCUAUCCAAAUCAAUAAAACCCAUAAUUUGUCCCAAUAAUUGUUGAACUUGAAUUGGACCAGCAAACAACUAAUCUUGAUGUUACCAAUCCAACAAAUGGAGCACCAACAAUUGACCUAAAAGUAAAACCAAAUGGAGGAAAAGAACUGCAAAUAUACAUAAGGAAGAUGAACAAGCAGCAAACUCUUGAGGAAGUAGAAGCAUGCACUAUUCCAAAGUAGAACCAAGACUCUACUCAAAAUUCAGAUCUUGAACCUACUCACAAAGGUAACAUAUUGUGCAUUAACUCUUCCUCUAAUUUAUCUAAUAAUGCCACUAAUGACUAGGACUUAGACUUACUUAUUGUUGUGACAAAUGGAGUAAGGUCUUGUGCCAAACACCCAAUUGCAAACCAUGUUUCUAGUGAAAAAUUAUCGUAGGGGUACAAGAACUUCAACAAAUUUAUGGACAACAUUGACAUUCCUCAAAACUUUCAUGAAGUUGUCACAAUUCCAGAAUGGAAGGUUGUUGCAAUGGAAGAAAUCAAGACACUUGAAAAGAAUGGUACAUGGCAGCUUUCCCACCUACCAAAAGGGAACAAGGUAGUUGGAUGAAAUGGAUAUUUUAGGUAAACUACAAUAAGAUAAAAGUGUAAACAGGUACAAAGCUCGGUUAAUGGCAAAAGGAUUCACCCAAUCCUAUAGGGUGGACUUGGAGAAGUAAGAAAAAAUCUAUGGUUGCUAGAAGUAGUGCAAAAAUUGAACUUAGGUAUAUGACACAUGGGAUUUGCGAGGGGAUGUGGCUGCAAAGGAUGCUUGCAGAACUAAAAUUUCACACUGACCAUGAAGUAAGCAUGUUGUGCGAUAACAAAGUUGCCAUAAACAUUGCUAAAAUUCCUGUGCAACAUGACAUGCCAAAGCAUAUGGAAAUUGAUAGACCUUCAUCAAGGAGAAGGUUGACAAUGGGCUAAUUUCUCUUUAGCACACACUCUCAAGCCACCAAGUUAUUGAUAUCUUGACCAAGACACUUCCUAGACCCCCCUACGAAAACUUAAGAUUCAAUUCGGGCAUGAUUGACAUUUAUGACCUAACUUGAGGGGGAAUGCUGGUUACAAUUCUAUCCAUUAAGGGAAAGUUGUACAAAUUUUAUUAGCUGUAUCAUAGGAAUAUUCUAUUACCAUUGACAAUCAUAUAAUAUAUUUUAUUUCUUGUAAAUAAUUGAGUUAAUUAGGAUUUAAUUAGCUUCCUAAUUUACUUGUGCUCCCUAAAUAUCCAUAUUGUAUUCUGUACAAAAUCAAUGAGAAAGACAACAUUUUCACAUAUUGAAGUUUGAAGUAGCAAUAUCGAUUUACAAGAAAGGGGGGUUUGAAUUGUAAAUGUUCCUAUUUAAAAUUUCCUGUUAAAAACUUAAGAAAAUAACUCAAUGUUGAUCUUGGUUGUGAAAACAGAAAACGGAGAACGUUCUUGGUUUUUUACAAGAAAACGGAGAACGGUCUUGGUUUUUGACAAGAAAACGGAGAAUGUUCUUGGUUAGUUAAAUCAACAAUUUAAAUUAUCUAUUUAACUUCAUAAUCAAACAUAAUGAAAUUAAAUAGAUAAGAGAAGAGAUAUCACACAAGAUAUAUUCUGGUUCACCCAAUCCGGUUAAUGCAAAAGUGUUGGUAAAUGAUGUGUAUGAUAAAAGUGUUUGGGAUCUUGAAACUGCUCAACACUUGUUUGAUAUAAAUGAAAGACAAACUCAGUAUAUAAUGAUCCAAAGAUAUAGUGAAGAGAGCUGGAGUUUGCUUGAAGAGUUUUUUGACUUGUUACUUGAACAAGUGUUGGUAAAUUUGUAAAUUAAACUAUUGUCUUCAUCUUCCAAUUGAUCUUUAAUUUAUAGAUGUUAAAAGGCUUUGAAUAUUCAGUUUAAAAUGAAUAUAUCCGUUGGACACACUUCCCAAGUGAUAGAUAUAUUUUAAAGCAAUUAAACAUGUGUUUAUUUGCUAUCCAGAACGUUCUUGACAAACGGAGAACGUUCUUGCUUUUGGGUCUCAUGGAAAACGUGAAUGAGUUGUCACAUGUCAGUUGGCACUGUUUUGAGUCAGGUUUAUCCAGAUCUUUCUGACGAAUAUUGUAAGUACAAUGUACUUGUUUCCUUGCUCACAUCUCAUCAAUUUGGAGAUCAAUCUUAAGGUUGUUUUCCACCUUUGGUUAUUGAUCUCGAGUUAUUGGCUUCACCAAUGAUUUGAGCAGUCUUGAUACUCUUUAAUAUGUGAUUUAUAUUGUGGAAAAUUACCUCUUUUAAUUUUGUCUUUAAAAGAGAAUUAAAACAAAAUAUUCUUUUGUAAAACAAGAACAUUCUUCGUUUUGUGUUUUGUAUGAGUGUUGGAUUUUGACAGUUGUUAUGUGUCAUUCCUUUGUCUCAAAAAUAUGAUGUGCUUUAUGCAAAAAGGUGAGCAGCAAUGUCCUUGCUAUCAUGGCUCUCCUUUCUCAUAUCUCAUCAAUUUGGAGAUUGAUCUUGAUGUUUUGCUUUGCGUUUAUUGAUCCUCUUUGAUCAAAUCUAUCCAAAACAAUCUUGUGUAGAUUAUUAACUUCCUCUGUGAUGAAUACUGAUGUUUUGUAGUGUAGAUAGAUGUAUUUUUGUAGCCCAGAUCAAUCUUAGAUUACAACAGAUUUUGCUCUUUGUAAACCAGAACGUUCUUGGAUUAAAACUGUGAAAACGGAGAACAUUUUUCGUUUCUAUUCUGAGUGAUUGCUGAAUUUUGACAAUUCUAACAGCUGUUGUGUGCCAAGCUUUUCUGUUCUGUACGUGUGUCAGUGAUGCAGGGACUUUAUCAUUUCUGUUCAGUUUGUACUUGCUUACUUUAGUCAUCAACUUUGAGGGUUAGUUUUGGUUUUGAUUCUUAGUGCAUUGCUUGUCUUGCAAUGAUGGUUUGAAGAGCAACAAAAAUUAUGGGAAUGUUUUUAUAAGCUCUUGAUGAUUCCCUUUCCAGUUUGGUCCUUUUCGAGGUACGCUGAUGAUCAUCAAUAGGAGUGCUUUGGAAAGGAGCAGCAGAGGUGCAAAAAGUGGAUAAAUAAGAUCAACCAAAAAGCAAGAGUGUUCAAGCUGAAUCCAGGAACGUUCUUGACAUCCAAGAUGGUUCUUUGAACUGGAGAUUAGCUGAUUUGUACUUGUGAUUAUGUCAGUUGUCUGAGAUGAUUUCUAUCUUUAAGUCAAGUGUGCAGGUCUUGAUUGAAAGUACAACUUCAGUGUACUUUACAGCCUGUAAAUUUGUACUUGCAUUUGCCUCACUUGAAGAAUGAUCUUGCUUUGUACUUUUCAUGAAUCAUGUCUUUGAUCCUUCGAAUUCUAGAAAAAUUAUGACUUAGAUUGAUCCUUGCUUGUUCUUGAUGAAGAUAUGAGAUGAAUAAAGCUUCUAGAAUUCAAUCUUUCACAAAGGAAACUGAUCAUUCUUGUUUAAGACAUAUGUGGAGAAUGUUCUUCGUUUUCCAGAAAUAUGUCAUCUUCGUUUUACUGAAAUAUAUCAAGAAUGAUCUUCGUUUAACUGUUUUUGCUUUCUUGAUUUUAAUGAGAUCUGCUUUGAAAUACUUGGUACUUAACUUGUGUUGACACACUCAAAUACACAUGUUAAAUACCAAAACACUUAGAAUCAUAAUUAGAAUUCUUAAUUAACCUUUUGUUUAUUUUCAUCAAAACAUUAAAUUGAGAUUUUGUCUCAACAAAGUUCACAUCUUUGAAGAACUUGAAGGAAAUGGAUGAAUUAUAUUUAAUUUGGUUCAAUAUGUCAGAAGGGAUGAAGGGGAAUGCAGGGAUAAAAAUCUCUCGUUCAAAAUCUCUCUCCAAAAUUCCAUUUUCUCGACCAAACAAAAUACAUAAUACCUAUGAAAUAAUUCCACUCAAAACCUCUCCCUUCAACCUCAACAAUAACUAUGAAUUCUUAAUAAUCAACACACACUAUAACAAAGGUUAGAUAUGUUCUUUACCUUGUAAGAAGUUAUGGACUUCUUUUGCUUUGCUUCUUAUAAUGGCGGCAAAUGAUCCAAACCAGCAUGCCAGCUAGACCAAACCAAACUAGAAAGAUCGUGAGAUCAGAACCCAAAAAUAACAUUUUAUAGCGCAUCUUUUAUAGCGCUUAAUAAAUACAAGCGAUGUUGUAUAAUACACGUAAAAAUAAUGGAGGAUACAACAACGCUUUUAUGACAAGCGCUGUUGUAGGGUCACAUAGCGCUUGCACAUAAAGUUUACAAGGCUUUUACAUAGCUUGUUCAAAAGCGUUGUAAAUUGAAGCGCCAUCACUUAAUGUUUUACAACACUUUUGGAGCGCUUUAAAUACAAGCGCUGUAAAAUAUAGCGCUCCCACCUUAUGUUACAUAGCUUUUAAAGCACUUUUUUGACAAGCGUUGUAAAAUAUAGCGCUCCCAGCUUAUGUCACAUAACUAAAUGACCUAUUAGAGCGUGUUUAUAUAAGCGCGGUAAAAGACUUGCACUUUCACAUAAUUAAAGGACCUAUUAGAGCCCUUAUUACACAAGCGUUGUAAAAUCAUUCAGUUUAAAUAAAAAUCAUUUACUUUAAAUAAAUAAAAACAAAUUUACGAACCCUCAUCUCCUCUACUCUGGGAACCCUCCUCUCCUCUACAUACUGUGCGGCCAUCUACUGCUCAUCCUUUAAAAAAAAUUGGAUACGUUGUCUCAGGUACUGUAUUUAUUAAUUUGUUGUUGUCACUAAAACUAAUAAAUUGUUACAUAAUAAAUCAUAUAAAAUCUAUUAUUUUUUGAAAUUUGUUGAUUUGUUCUGUUUUGAAAUCAGACUUGGACCUUGGUUUCCAUUUUCCAAUAUUAGAUAUGUGUACUAUAUAUUGGUAUAAUAUUAUCAGUAGCUUAUUAUUUGUGUAACUGCAUUUAUAUAGGUCAUAUAAAAUGGACCGGAAAUGGAUGUCUGUCAAUCGAUUGUCAAAAGAGUAUGAAAAUGGAGUGAAGGAGUUUGUUGAGUUUGCAAUGAAUAAUGCAAAAGAUCCAAAUAGAGUCGUUUGUCAUUGUUUAAAAUGUUAUUUUGGAAAACGCAUUAGAGAAGAUGAAUUGGAAGGACAUUUAGUAUGACAUGGAAUUGAUCAAAGCUAUACAUGUUGGAUAAGACAUGGUGAGAAAAAAAGGAAACGUUAAUUUUGAGAAUGGUUCGACAUAUGCUUCAACUGAUUUCGACACAGAUACAUAUGAGCUGGACCGAGUUGAGGAGAUUGCAAAAGCAGUUGAAGAAGAUCUUCGGGAUUCUCCUAAAAUGUUUGAGAGUUUGUUGAGUGAUGCAGAGAAACCAUUAUAUAAUGGUUGUACUAAAUUCACAAGACUGUCGGUGAUAUUAAAGUUGUACAACUUAAAAGCGAGUAAUGGAUGGUCUGAUAAAAGCUUCCCAGAAUUAUUAACACUCUUAAAAGAUAUGUUGCCAGAUGAUAAUGAACUUCCAAGUCGAACCUACGAGGCUAAACGAAUUUUGUGCUUUAUUGGCAUGAGUUACGAAAGGACUCAUGUGUGUCCUAACAAUUGCAUUUUAUUUCGAAACGAAUAUGAAUUACUAAAGGCGUGUCUGAAAUGCAAUGUCUCUCGAUAUAAGAAGAAAGAAUCUACUCCAGAAAAAGUCGUGUGGUAUUUUCCUAUAAUACCAAGAUUUACGCGCAUGUAUCGUAGUGAAGAAGAUUCAAAACGCUUGACAUGGCAUGCAAAUGAAAGAAUUAGAGAUGGAAAGUUUCGACACCCUGCAGUUUCGACACCCUGAAUUCGGGAUAGAGUCAAGAAAACUACGACUUGCACUUUCUACUGAUGGAAUGAAUCCACAUGGUCUUCAAAGCAUCUCACACAGCAUGUGGCCUGUGAUUUUGUUGAUUUAUAACCUACCUCCAUGGUUAUGUAUGAAGCGUAAGUUUAUGAUGUUGUCUCUGUUAAUUUCUAGACCCAAACAACCGAUGAAUGAUAUCAACGUAUACUUGACUCCUUUAAUUGAAGAUUUAAAAAAUAUGUGGGAGACAGGCGUGGAAGUUUAUGAUGGGUAUAGGAAAGAAUGUUUCAAUUUGAGGGCUAUGUUGUUCGGCACAAUUAAUGAUUUUCUAGCAUAUGGUAAUUUAUCAAGAUAUAGCAUUAAAGGUCAGUGUGCAUGUCCUAUAUGUGAAGAGAGUACAAAUUGGACGUGGUUGAAACAUUGUAAGAAGAAUGUAUUUCUAGGACAUCGUAGAUUUUUACCUUAUAGUCAUCAGUAUCGUGGGUGGAGAAAUGCAUUGAAUGGAAAAAUCAGAGGAAGAUAAAGCUCCUUUAGCACCGAUUGGAUAUCAAAUACUUGAAAAAGUACAAGGUUUGACCAAUAAAUUUGGCAAACCUUUUAUGGGAGAGCUGGUCAAAACUGGGUGUAAGAAAAAGUCAAUUUUCUUUGAAUUGCCAUAUUGGAAGUCAUUGUAUAUAAGACAUUUCCUCGAUGUGAUGCAUAUUGAAAAAAAAAAUGUAUAUGAUAGUGUUAUUGGUACGUUACUCAAUGUUCCAGAAAAGUCUAAAGAUGACAUCAAAGCAAGAUUGAACUUGGUCGAUAUGGGAAUAAGAAAUGAAUUGGGUCCCGUAAAGAAAGAAAGUCACACAUAUCUACCUUCAACCGCUCAUACUCUAUCUAGAAAGGAAAAAAUUGUUUUAUGUAAAUUUCUACACGAAGUUAAAGUUCUAGAAGGAUACUCUUCAAACAUUAAAAAUUUAGCUUGUAUGAAAGACCUCAAGUUAAAAGGUUUGAAGACCCAUGGUUAUCAUAUUCUAAUUGGGCAUUUGCUACCAAUAGGUAUACGUUCCAUUUUACCUGAAAAUUUUCGAAGAGCCAUAACUAGAUUAUGUUUCUUCUUCAGGAAAAUUUGUAGCAAAGUGAUCGAUCCUCAGAAAUUACCAACAUUGCAGAGGGAAAUUCUUGUUACUUUGUGUGAGCUUGAAAUGUAUUUCCCACCUUCGGUUUUUGAUAUAAUGGUUCACCUUACUGUUCAUCUUGUUAAGGAGACACAACUUUGUGGGCCAACAUAUAUGAGAUGGAUGUAUCUAAUAGAACGAUAUAUGAAAAUAUUAAAAGGGUACGUAAAAAGUAGAAGUCGACCAGAAGGUUGUAUUGCUGAACGGUACAUUGUCGAAGAAGCUGCUGAAUUUUGUAGUAAAUAUCUGUCCAAUGUUGAAUCCAUAGGGCUUCCUAUGUCUCGUCAUUCGGGAAGAAUAUCAGGAUAAUGGAUAAUUGGAAAGAGACUAAUGACUAUAUCAAGGACAAAAUGGGAGCAAACACAAUUGUAUGUUCUACACAAUGAUGAUGAGGUUCAACCGUAUGUUACAAUACACAUGGAUCAGUUAUCUAGUUUGAACAUGAAUAGGAAUCAAAAUUGGAUAACUCGAGAGCACAAUCGAAGUUUUAUAAUAUGGUUAAAUAAUCACAUAAAGUCAAAGUUUGAUAUAGACCCCAGAUCAAUUUCACAGAGAUUGAGGUGGCUAGCAAAUGGUAUGAGUUUAUAUGUCUUUUCUUACACCGAUUAUGUAAUUAACGGCUACACAUUUUAUACCAAAGAACAAGAUGAUCAAACCACUAUGCGAAAUAGCGGAGUCACUCUCGUAGUUGAAGCGAUGCAUGUCUCAAGUGCAAAAGACAAAAACCCAAUAUAUGCAAAUCUAUCAUAUUUUAGGGUUAUCAAGCGCAUAUGGGAGUUAGACUACACAAUGUUUCGUGUUCCCGUAUUUGGUUGCAAGUGGGUCGAUAAUAAUAAUGGCGUUCAGAUUGAUGAGUCAUGAUUCUUGCUUGUCGAUUUUAAUAGGGUGAGAUACAAAGAUGAACCUUUUAUUUUAGCGUCGCAAGCUCAACAAGUGUUUUAUGUCACUGAUCCUGCUUAUGAUAAAUGGUCUGUUGUCCUAUCGACCAAUAAAAUAAGUGAUGAUAACAAUAAUGAUUAAGAUGUUGGUAAUAAUAUUUUAUUUGCAACAUCACAACCACAUGAAAUUGAUUCAACUGAUUAUGGUUUAUAUCUUAGAGAUGAUCAUGAUGAGGGAACUUGGAUUAAUCCAUCAUUUUGUAUUGUUAAUGGACAAACAAAUGUGAAUCCCACCAGGAAAAGAAGAAGGGCAUCUUAAUGUGUUAAUUGUUUUAUAUAAGCCAUGUAAUCUGGACCGAGUUCAUGUAAUUUAAUUGUUUGAUCUGCCAUAAUUGAACAUUUUAGUAUUUAGCUUGAACUAUAUUUGAUACUAAGUUCAUGUAAUUUAAGUGUACGUUUGACCUGCCAUAACUGAUUUUCAGCUUAGAUUGAACUUGAAAAAGCUUUGUUUGAAUACUGGGAAUUUAUCUUGAACUUGAACUGAUCAUUCCAAUAUGCCUGAUCAUGUAAUUUAGCAUUGAUAUAUAUAUAUAUAUAUAUAGGUAGUUAACUAAUUAUUUGGAAAAAAAUAAUAAUCCAAAUAUAGGUAUUUUACUUGAACUGAACUGAAUAUAAACUUGUAAUUUUACAGUGCUUUUGUCCGUAAGCGCUAUAAAAGCCUUUAAAAAAAAUAAGGAUGUCACAAAGCUUUGUUUUAUACCAAGUUAAAAGGGUCUUUUAAAGCGCUUGCUGCCAAAGCGCUGUAAAAGGCUUUUAAAAAUAAAAUAAGGAGGUCUUUUACAUCGCUUUGACAAUAAGCACUGUAUAAGGCAUUUAAAAAAACAGCCCUAUUACACAUAAGAAAGCAAAGACCUCUUUUAAAGCGCUUGUUGCUAAACCGCUGUAAAAGACUUUUAAAAAUACAGCCCUGUUACAUAAGAAACAAAGAGGUAUUUUAAAGCGCUUGUGGACAAGCGCUGUAAAAGGCUUCUAAAAAAUAAAAUCAUGAGGUCUUUUACAGCGCUUGUGGACAAGCGUUGCAAAAGGCUUCUAAAAAAGCACUGUAAUAGACUUUUAAAAAAUAAAAUAAGGAGGUCUUUUACAACGCUCUUUCGAAAAAGCGUUGUAAUAGGGUUUUAUAUAUAACUGAAGACCGCUUCAGUUUCCUCUUCAUUACGUAAAAUUCACUACGCUAGUGUCCUCCUCCUCUUCAUUGUUCUUCUCAUUGCGAACCCUAUCAUCUGUGUUAUUAUCCCUACGAACCAUAUUGCCACUAUCAUCUCCAUUGCUAACCAUCUAUUCUCAUUGAAAUACGUAACCCUCAUUACGUAUUUCUGCGAAUCAUACUAUGUCCUACGAACCGUUCGUAUUUCUACGCAUUCUCGGUGUUCCUUUUCCUAAGAACCCUAUGUAUUUCUUCUCACUAUUCAGGUAUUGUAUUUAUUAAUUUUUUGUUGUCACUAAAAUGCAUGUUGAACAUAUACUGCUACGUACUUAGACUACUGCAUGUUGAACUUGUUGAAGUUAUACUGAACUGCAUGUUGAACUUGUUGUAGAUAAAUGGAUUCUAACAAGGCUUUGGAUUGUCAAAAUGAGGAAGUUGUCAACACUAAGACUUAUGAAAAUGAGGUUAAACGUGGUGCAACUAUUAUGCAAAAUGUCAUAAAAGCAAGAAGUAAUGGCAUAAAAUUUGAGGUAUACUAUACUUUGUUUGCUGUUUAUUUUUUAUCUUUUUUGAAAGCAUGUACUUACUGUAUGAGUUUAUUAGGUGGGAUGGAAUGAAAGUGGCCAGCUAAUUGAGCCCAACAGUUCCAUGUUGGUAAGUUAUAUUGGUGCUGUUGUUCGUUAGAAUAUUCCAAUUAUAAUUGACGAUUGGAGAGAUAAGGCUUUGAAGGAUGCAAAAGAUAUACUGUGGAAUUAUAUAAAAGUAACUUUUUUUACUCCACUUUUUUGUUACUUAUAAUUUUUUCCAUUGAAAUACUUUACUCAAACUAUAUUUUUAUUUGGUUUGCAGUCUGCUUUUGAUGUUGAUGAGGUGAGAAAAACCUACGUGCUUAGAGUUGCCGGAAAAAUACACCGGGGAUUUAGAUCUCAUCUGUCAAACUGCUACCUAAGAGAUCGUGAUGGAAAUAUGAAUGUUGAAGCUCCAAAAAUAUAUAAACACUAUAUAUCAAAUGACGAAUGGAGCGCAUUUGUAGCUAAAUAUGCAAACCCCGUGUUUGUAGUAAGUGAUUAAUUUAUUAGCAUUUGUGUUUUAUUAUUCAUAUUCAUAGCGUACUUUAAAUUUUUAAACGGUUUUAUUUUUUUUAUAUAGAGUAUAAGUACGGCAAAUCGCGAGAGGACAAAAAAUCCAGCGCAUCCAUACAAAAAAUCUCAUAUGGGAUAUGCACGUUUAGAGAAAAAAAUUGUAAGUAAACAUCAAUUUUAUAUAAUAUGGUACAUUAUAAACUAUAGUUUCUAACUAAUAUUUUAUUUAUGAUCUUAACGAAUAGCAUUUGUAGCUAAAUAUGCAAACCCCGCGUUUGUAGUAAGUGAUUAAUUUAUUAGCAUUUGUGUUUUAUUAUUCAUAUUCAUAGCGUAUUUUAAAUUUUUAAACGAUUUUUUUUUUUAUAUAGAGUAUAAGUACAGCAAAUUGCAAGAGGGCAAAAAAUCCAACGCUUCCAUACAAAAAAUCUCAUAUGGAAUAUGCACGUUUAGAGAAAAAAAUUGUAAGUAAACAUCAAUUUUAUAUAAUAUGGUACAUUAUAAACUAUAGUUUCUAACUAAUAUUUUGUUUAUGAUCUUAACGAAUAGCUUUUGUUUAUGUCUUAAUGAAUAGCUACAAGAGACCCAAUCCGAUCAACCAUUGGGUCGUCAUAUUUUAUGGAAGGAGGCUCGUGUAAAUAAAGAUGGAGUUGUUGAUAAUGAAAAUGUUCAAAAAGUGAUACAACUUUGUUUAAGUAUAUUAUCACUUUAAUAUUGUAUUUUAAAAAUGAUAUUGAACUUAUCUAUUUAAUCUUACGUGUAUUUUAGGAGAAUCUAGAACAAAGUUCUGAAAAUCAAGAGGAUAACAAGUAAUCUAGUUGUAGGGACAUACUCGGUAAAGUAUUUAAUGUUCCUGAAUAUUCUGGCCGCGUGAGAGGGAAAUGAUUUGGCGUAACUCCAACCCGCUAUUUUUCACAAGAGAAGCGCCCAAAUCCAUCUAAUGAGGAAGUAUUAGAGAAGCUCAAAGUCCUAACAGAGCAAGUGACAUUCUUGGUGAAGACGAAUAAAGAAAAACAACUUCCGGAUCAACUCCAACGUGAAAUACAAAUGGAGAGUGAAAACGCUAGUUGCAACAUUGGUCUUAAAAGUCUUCCCAAGGUAAUUAAUUACUUAAUAAAAUAAGAAAUUCAUUCAACCUAAUUGUUUCACAUACUUAUAUAUUAACCAUUGAUUUAAGGUGUAUCUACUUGUGUGUUGUAUUUAUCCUCCCCUACUCGUCGCAAGGUUGGAAAAGGAACUUUGUACAAUACUUUUGGAGAAGUAUUGCACAACACUCUGAUCCCUGUCGACCAUGUCAAAGUAUCACCCGUGAUUGCUUUUGAACCAAAUGCGCUGUUGCCUAUACCAGACAACAAUGGAGAUAUGAAGUAUUUGGGAGAAGCAAUAGGUUGUUACGUGGCAUGACCCAAAAAUCUUGUUUCCCUUGAUAAGGUAUGUUUAAUUGAUAUGUAUAUUUAAUUGAACGAUAUAUGAUUAUGAUUGAUUAUAUUUAAUUGCUGAUUUUUUCCACUGUUAACUUUAAUUUCACAUUUAUUUAGAUUCAUACAAAGUCUAAAGGGAAUGACAAGAAAAUUCUCCGCAAUGGGUCAGUCACGUCACCAGAAAAAGUUUGUCACAUUUAUUCUGGCAGGUUUGUCAUUUUUUAAGAUUCAAUUAACUAAUAAACUGAUUAACCUCAUUUUUUCAGAUCCAAUAAAGGUUUGAAAUAUAUACGUUUAAAAUUUCAUUAACAAUCAAUGCACAAAUAUUUAUUGAAUUAUAUGUUUUAUUUUAUAGUGCUAUCGUCAAACUAACAACAUAGACUGCGGGUACUAUAUAUUGCGAUUAAUGAAGGAGAUUGUUGAUAUCAAUCAAACUAUAAUCCCAGAAACGGUACGAUAUUUUCAUUAUAUUUUGAUUUUCAUAUAUAAACUAUGUAUAUAUUUGAUUCUAACUUAUUUAUGUUCAAAUUUUAUAUAUAACAGUACUUUGACAAUUCUAGUCCAACAUACUCUGAAAGAGAUCUAACUGAAAUAAAGAAAUACUGGUGUAAGUAUGUGAUUGAAAUGAAAAUUAUUUGAUUUGCUGGGAUAUAAGAAUGCUGCAAGGUUGUGAAUAUGUAAAUGUUGUGUAGGCUAUGUUGUGUAGUUCUGUUGUUGUAAAUGUAAAAAAUAUGUUAUGUUAAUUCUGUUGUUAGUCCUGUUGUUGUAAAAAAUAUAAAAAGUUAUGUAUUGUUGCUAGAUUGAAUUAUGUUAGUAUCAAUAUAUAAAGUUACAAGUUUGUUGUUGGAUUGAAAAAUAUAGUAAUUGUGUCAAUAUAAUGUGCUGGACUGAAAAUGAUUUUGGAAAAAAAUUAAAAGACAGCACUUUUUUUUAAAAAUGCCAUAAAAAACCUGUUUAUACAAACAAGCGUUAUUUUAAAAAUUCCAUUUACAGCGUUUUAAAAAAAUAUAUAUAAAAAUGCACCUAUUACAGCGCUUUUGUGAACAAGCGUUGUAAUAGGUCAUUUAGUUACGUGAAAGCGCAAGUCUUUUACAGCGUUUGCCAAAAAAAACGCUUUAAAAGCUAUGUAACAUAAGGAGGUGGGAGCGCUAUAUUUUACAGCGUUUAUUUGGAAAAGCGCUGUAAAACGUGCAUAAUAAUGCACCUAUUACAGCGCUGUAAAACCAGUACAUCAAGCAGCGUGUUUUUAGAAGGGACUUACAACGCUUUUUUGAAAAAGCGCUGUAAAACUAGUACAACAAACAACACGUUUUUAGAAAGAAUUUACAACGUUUUUCUUUAUUUUAAAUAGCGUUAUUGUAUCUUUUUAAAGCGCUAGAUACUACAAUGCUUAAUUUUUUGAAAAAGCGUUUUAAAUGGCUUAAAAAAGCGCUGUAAAAUCAUAUUUUUCGCGUUGUAUCAAAUAAGUGAUGCUUCAUUCUGUUUGUAGCAGUGGGAGCAAUUCAAUCUGUCCAACAACUUCAGGUAUUAAAUCCAGCAUGCAUAAAGAAAAAAGCUUUUAUUGAAAGAAACAUGAGUAUAUUAUAUAGAAAGAAACACAAAAGUUUGAAAAUAUAUCUCCUUGAUUAUUCCUUCUGUAAAGUGCAUGGUUUAUAGGCAGGAUAAAGACUGUAAAAAAAGAAACAAAUUAUGCUAAUGAAAACAGAAACGAAUGGAGAUUAUUACAUGAUCUCCCUAGGCGCUAAUUACACAAUUACAUCCUAAUUUAAAAUAUUCGUAUUUACACACUAGUAACUUCCAUCAUAUUAUGAUCCCUUACAUUUUAUAUUUCCACCAGAAACUACAUUGGUAUCUGCUUCAACAGAAGCAUUAACAUCAUUAUCUACCCAAUGCCAGUUCUUAUUAUAACUCUCAUUGUCAUCUUCACUAGAAAUGUUAACAUCUUAUCAGCUGGCAUAUCACAGCCGCCAGAAACAGCAUGCAAAUUUUUUAUUUGCUGCCAUGGAAUCAUCACCAGAAACAACAGAAUUCAUAUUCAUUGCAUGUGACUGCUUAUCUUUAUUUAAAUUUUCAUCUUGACGAGGACCGGUAACCUCCACUACAUGACAGCGUUUCAUUUCUUUGUUGAUUGGUUCAUCAUAUAAGAGAGAUACUGUUGUAUUCUCUACAAUGAAUCCCUCCCCAAAAACAAACAUAACCUCCAAUUUGUUACCAGGUUCUAUACUUGAUGUUACGCUCUNNNNNNNNNNCCUCAUCCUCAAAGGAGGUUAGUGUAUCUCUUUUGUAGGCCAGAAUGGUUGUCUUGGUGUAAUUUAUGAUCAACACAACUUGACAACCUUCUGAUGUUAUGUUGUCCGGGGAAGAGUAAUAGACGACAAAC
rnacentral:lncRNA from 1 species